rnacentral:lncRNA from 1 species
UUGUCCUAUGCUGAGUGAAAGUUGUGAAAGGGAGAAAGGUAAAGAUUGGCCCAAGAUUUCUCACAUUCCUCGCAUACAUAUUUAACCCAUAAUCAGCGGAGCAAAGAUGUAGCAGUUAAAAGGAGGUUUUCUUUCAAUCGUCCAACAUAUUGAGGUAUUGCUACUAAAUAGUUUAUUUUCUUUUCAGUAAUCCAAAGCAAUUUCAAUUAAAAUUUGGAUGAAUGAAAUACGGAUAUUGUCCAUUUUGUAUUGUUUUUAUUUGUUGGAUGUAGAAAUACAGAUAUUUUCUUCCUAUUGUCUCUCAUUCAUCUCCAUAAAUAAUAAUCAUCAUUCUAUUUCAAUAUAUCAAGCUGGAGGAUCAUCACAUGCUUCAGAUUUUGAACUGCCAGCACCACCCUUAAUUUGGACAGGAGGCUAUUGUCAUUGAAUUUUAGCAACGGAAUAUUUCUUUUGCUAAUUUAACAACAAAAUGUGUAUAUAUGAUUUUUUUUAAUAUUAACAAUGACAUUAGUGAUAGAAAAUCCAAGCUAAAAAGGAUUUAAAAAAUAUUAAAUUAUUUAAGUAAUUUGCAACGGAUUUUUCAUUGUUGACGUGCUUGGCAACAUCAAAUCUGCAACUGAUUCCAAAAAUAAAUCAAACCCUUAAUUAUAUAAAAUCCCCAUCCUUUCUCCUUUUCUCUUUUCCCGCAUCUUCAAAAAUUAAAAAAAAUAAAAAAUUCUCCAUCUCUUUCUCUAGUCUCUUCCCUUCUCCAAAAAUUCAAAAUUCAAAAACUUUUUUUUAUCUUUUAUUUAUUAUUUAACUUUGAUUAAAUUGUUUUUAUUCCAUAUAAAGCAGAAGUUAAAAAAUGAUUUUGGAGUACAUGUAAGUCAUAUCUUUUUUGGAGUUUACUGUUGUUCAGGACAAAUAAUUAGUCAUUUUCAUAUCAUCCGCCAUUUCCGCUCUUUAGUUAACUUGCAUACAUACAGAGAGAUCAUUUUGGUAAAAUUAUUAAGAAGCAAAGCAAAUUCCUUCAUCAGAUAUGGGAUUUCAAAGGAAAAAUAGGGAUUUAAAUCUUUACGGACCAUUCGUAAACCAUUGAUCUGAGAGAGGGAUAUUUGGGUUUCGUGCUUGUUUCAUAAAUAAAUAAAUAAAUAAAAUUUUCUCAUGAGGAGAUUUCAGAUAUAAUAAAUUAUGUUCGUUUGGAUCUACGAAGGAAAGAGGAAGAAGAAGUGGAAUGGCUAAUGGCUAAGUUCUUAAAUUGGAUGACCGGCUUAGCAAUUAAAGGGUUACUGGCUACUAAAAAAAAUGAUAUGAAUUAUUAACAACAAACAAUUAAAUAAAAAAGAAGCUGAUAACUGAAAAAUCAGCAACGAAAAUCCAAUGUGAAGCUAAAACCUAAGCUAUUAGAAUAGUCAAGUUAACUGUUUAAACUUACAAUUGUGUUAGUGGAAGUUGGAUAACUCGUUAAAAAAAUAUUAUAUUAAAAUAAAAAAUUUUAAAAAAUAUUGAUUAAAAUAUGAAGUGAAAAGAAAGAUUGGUAUAUAAUAAAAAUUAUUCCAAUCAAACCCACUUUUUCGACCAUGGGAUCUCUUGGCAAAUAAAGCAAGUAAAAUUAGUAAAAUGUGGGACCUAGCUCCAAUUUCCUAGCACUCAUAAUCGUAAUUUUAAAACUCAGCAUAGCGGGUUGACCUGGAACAUGGUUGAUUUGGGGCUGAAACCUAAUCGAAUUGAAAAAAAAAUCCGAUAUGACUCGAUUGAACCAGCGAGUUGAUCCGACCGCAAGCCCAUACUUUAUCAAUGAAAUAAAAGUGAUAAAAGAAAAGGAGAGAAGAAAUAAAGUGAAGUCUUCUUCUGCAUUAUUAGCACAUCACGUGAAAAGAAAGAUACAAACAAAGUUACUCCAUUUUCCUCUCACUUUUUCAACCGAUGGGGCUUCUUGGCAAAUAAAGCAAGGACAGACCGAGUUGAUGCGCUACCUAACUCCUUUUUCCUGGCCCGCGCAAUUCACGCAUACACAAACACAUCAAAAUUUACUUUAAUUUAGAAAAGAUUUUAAAAUUUUAUUUUUUAAUUUAAUAAUAACAAAGUUUUAUAUUAAAUUGGUUCACCUAAUUUAACCUGUUAUUUAUAAUUCAGGUUAUGAAAUUAUAAUACCUAAUUCCCAAAUAACCAAAUAUGAUUAAGUUUUUCCAAUCAAACCCCUCUUUUUUUAAGAUGUAAAGUCUAGCAAAAUAAAUCAAAGACAAACAGAGUAAAAUUUCAAAAAAAAAGAGAAAGAUGGAAUAUCCCACCAAUAUUUAACCCACUUAAAUUGAGUCCAAAUCAUAAGAGCAUCUACAAAGGAUUGUUAAAUGAAAAGUUAAAAGUUAAAAAAAUAUAUAUUAUUUUGACUCUUUCAUGUUUAUUUUAUACACUUCAAAAAAAUAUUAAAUAACAUAUCAAAAUAUCUUUUCUUUCUUAUAAAUACUAUUUCUACAUAUCUAUAAAAAAAACCAAUACUAAAAAAGUAGGGUCAUCAAAAAAUAAACCAAUUAAAUAUAGUCAUAUGAAAAAAAAAACAUCAAACUCAUUAAAAAAAAUAAAACACUUUUUUCUCUCACUCUAGUACAAUUAGCUUUUCAAAUAGUUUUUUUCAUUAAAAUAUAUAUAAUAAAAAAAUUAUAUUUAUAUUAUUCAAAAUACUAUUUUAUCAAUUUAGCUAUUCAAAACAUUGUUAUUAAACCCGACCCGGCCAGGUAGAUCGACCGAGUGACUAGACCUGUCCGGGCUUGUCAAAAAACUGGUCAGUGCAAUAACCUGGCAAAACUCAAUUGACCUGACGAGUUGACCCAUGACCCGGGGGAACUUGGACGAGCCCUUUUUUUGUUUUUUAAAUGUGGUUUUUCUCCUAUCCCUUUUUUUUAUAUAUUUUUUAGUUGGUUAUUAAUAUUUUUUAAAAUUUACUAUAUAAAUAUUAGAAAAGUAUUUUAUUUUUUCAAUGUAAAAUUUGAAAUCCUUUAGUAUAUAUACUAUAUUUUGCCAAGAAAAAAAUUUAUUUUUUCAAUGUGAGAUUUGAAACCUUUUGUAGAUAUAUUUUAUGUUCACAAGGAAAAAAUUAUGUUUUUUCAAAAUAAAAUUUGAAACCCUUCAGUAUAUAUACUCUAUAUUCCCAAGAAAAAAGUUAUUUUUUCAAAAUGAGAUUUGAAACCCUUUAAUAUAUAUAAUAUGUGUUUUCAGAUCAUUUAGAUGUGUUGGUAUCAAAAAUAAUUUUUUAAGAAUAAAAAAAUAUUAUGCAACCAACUUGGGUUAACCCAUUAAGCAUUAUUCUCGUAUCAUGGUUCAGAAUAACCUAAUAGAAAAUAAAUAAAACAAAUCAUGAAGUGUGAACCCCGAUUGAAAAUUAGGCAGAAAAGUAAUCUAAAUGUUUAUACAAUAGAUUUAACAGAAGUACCAAAUAAGCAUUAGAACAAACCAAAUACAAGCAAAAGAAAAUAUAUAAGUAAAUGUGAAUAACAUAAUGUUGGAAGUGAGUUACCUAAAAAUAAAAUUAUCAAUAUGUAACUAAAUAAAAUUCAAAUUCACCCCGGUAAAUUUUUUAUAUAGACAAAUGCCAGGUUCAGAAAUUUUUUCCCGAGAACAUGAAAUUUACUAUUUGGAUAAUAGAGGGAAUUUGGUAAAAUUUAAGAGUGGGCGCGCGCUCGGGUGAGAAGAAAAAUGGAGAAAAAAAGAAAGAUGAGAAACUACCAUUUACAUGUGAGAGAGAUAGAAUUGUAAUGAAAACAUAAAAUUUUAAGGGAAGAUCUUGAGGGAACAUUAACCAAGCUUAGUGAGCAUUAAUUGGAAGAAAUAAAAAUCAUGUGAAGGUGAGUAUAAAUGGAGAGAGGAAGUUCCACCAAGUUAAAGAAGAGGAGGAGUUGAAAGUUUCAUUUGGGAAGUGUUUAGAGUUUAAUUGAAUUUUAAUGGCUUAAAGUUCUUAAUUGAUUGAAUUCUUGAAAUUAAAAAGUUAGGGUUCUUCAAUAAAUUUGGGGGAAAUAAAAAUUAAUUGUAAUUUGUCAUGGAAAAUAGUGUGAAAAUUAGAGUAAAGUAAUUAAGUUAUUGUAAUUGAAGUAAAGUAUUUGAUAAUUAAAUAGAGUUAGUGGCCGGCCAAAUGAUGAGAGAUUUUAGGGGAUUUAAUUGUGAAUAAAUGUUGUGAAUUGAUGAAUAAUAUAGUAAGUAGAACUAUUUUUUAAAUAUCUCUUUACAACUUUUUAAAUUUCAUGGAACACUUGUGUUGAUUCUUGAGAUUGUGUGAAAUAUUACUACCAUAAAAAUAAAAAAAGAAUUGAUGUCUAGAUGAGGAAUAUCAUUGAAUUGUUGGUCCCUAUUAGAUUUUGGUAUGUAAUGGAGUCAUGAGACGUUAAAAAUUCUUGAGAGAUGUUAAAUUAGUGGCUAAAAUUCAUAGAAUGGUCUAUUUUUUAGAAAUAUAUUUUACUAUGAAAUUUAUUUGAUAAAAGAAAAGUAGGAAAUUUAUGGUAUAUUUCCUUGACAAUGAGUACCCGAUUAAACAAUAUGUAUAUUCAAUUAAAACUUAUAGUAUAUUUCCUUGACAGCGAAAUAAAAAAAAGUAGGAACCCUGUAAUAUCUAGGUAAUUUCUAUGCCCUUUUAAUGAGUCCUACAAACCGAGGCUGUAAUGAGCCCAUGACAGAAGGAGAUAGGAAAGUGUAAUUUCAGAAGACCAUCACACAAAUCAACGGCUGAAAUCCAAUCACUCAAGGGAUGGUGACACGUCGCAUGAGUAGAGACAGCUAGUCUUUAGUACGAAAAGAAAAAGAUAAAUUAUUUUUACUCUUGAUUUGUUUGAUUUAAAUAAUAUUGAAUUAAAAUUAUAAUUAAAAAUAUUUAGCUAAAAUUAUGAUUAGAAUUGAACUACCACAAAAGAUACUGGUGAAGGUGGAGAGGAUGUGAGAGGCGAUUGGGAUCCAAAACAUCAACUGUUGUGGUCAAUUCUGGAGGACUAAACACUUCAGGCUCCUUUCCCGUCCUUUUCCUCGCUGGAUCCUUGAUAUCUUCUUCAAGGUGUGCAGGCGCCUUGUUCGAGGAUUGAGCAUAGAAAGACUAAAAAUAGUUAAAUAAAUACGAAAAGACAUAAGGUGAAGUUUUUAUAAUAUUCAUAGCAAUAGCCAUCACCUCAUUUAUAAUUUACUAGUUACAUGCCCCACGCGAUGUCGCGAGUCAAUUAUUUUUUGUAUUUUAAAAAUAGUCAAGAUCUAAAAGUGUUAGGUUUUUUUAUAAAGUUAUACCCAAAAGUCUCAGUUUUGGUUGCUUCGCCUGAUCCAAGAGUAAUGUUUAUAAUAUUAAUAAUAACAUUAAACUUGGGUUAACCCUUAGCAUAAAAGUGUCUGGACUACAAUAUCAGAUCCAAUAACAUUGGACGUGGGUCUGGCUGCAAGGUCGUGUCAUAAAAGUGUGAUAAUUAAAUAGAUUAAUUAAAAAAAACCAACAGGAAGAAAAAAACUAAUAAAAAAAAAGAAAAAAAAUGAAUUAAUUGGGUUAACCCUUCAAACCAGGUUAACCCGUCAUACCUUGAAUUCGCAUCAUGAAAGUUUGAUAAUUAAAAAAAAAAAAUUAAUGGGUUAACCCAGAAUUAACUGGGCUAACUCGUCAAAUCAGGUUAACCUAUCAAACCCGGAAUCCGUGUAAUGAAAGUUUGAUAACUAAAUAGAAAAAAAUUAACAUUAAUAAUUUAAAUUAAAUGAAAAAAAUUAAUUAAAAAAAAAACAAAAAGCAUCAGCCUUUUCACUGUGGACUGCACUAUGCAGUCCACAGUCAAAGGCAUAAAAAAUAAAGGCAUCAGCCAAAAACUACUUAGAAAAAAAUUUAAUAUUAAUAAACUAAAUUAAUUAAAUAAAAUUAAUUAAAAGAAAAAUAAAAGAAAAAAACCUCUAAGAAGAAAAAAAACUAAAUAGAAAGAAAUUUAACAUUAACAAACUAAACGAAACGAAAAAAAAAUUAAAAAAAAAUUCAGGUUAACUCGUCAAACCAAGUUAACCCGUUAAACCCGGGAUCCGUGUCAUGAAUGUCUGGUAACUAAAUAAAAAAAAGUGAACAUUAACAAACUAAACUAAACAAAAAAAAAUUAAUUAAAAAGAAAAAAAAUCUGGGUUAACUCGUCAAACAUACAUACCGUUAAACCCAGGAUCUGUGUCAUGAAAGUCUGAUAACUAAAUAAAAAAAAUUAACAUUAACAAACUAAAUUAAACAAAAACAUUUAUGAAAAUAAUAAUAAUAAAAAUUAACGGUCAACCCGGAAUUAACUGGGUUCACCCGUGAAACCAGGUUAACCUGUGAAACUCGGGAUAUGUGUCAUGAAAGUCUAAUAACUAAAUAGAAAGAAAUUUAACAUUAACAAACUAAACUAAACGAAAAAAUUAAUUAAAAUAAUAAAAAGCAAAAAAAAAAUCUAUUUUAACUUGUCAAACCAAGUUAACCCGUUAAAUCCGAUAAACGUGUCAUGAAAGUCUGACAACUAAAUAAAACAAUUAAACAUUAAUAAACUAAAUUAAACAAAAAAAAUUGUUAAAAAAAACAAAGGAAGAGGCAAAAAAAAAAUCCCAAAAAACAUAAAAAAAACUAAGACAACUUAAAAAAAAACACCUAAGGAAUCAGUGUUUUACUGUGGAAAUGAAAAAAUUAAUUAAAAAAAAAUCUGAGUUAACCCAUUAAACCUGGAAUGCGUGUUAUAAAAGUUUGAGAUAGAAAAAAAUUUAACAUUAAUAAAAAAUUUUAUUUUUAAAUAUCCAUUAAAAAAAAUGAAGAAAAAGAAAAGCAAAAAGUAAAAAAAAACAUCUGAAUUAAUUGGGUUAACCCUCAAACCAAGUUAAGCCGUCAAAACAGGGAUUCGCGUCAUGAAAGUUUGAUAACUGCAUAAAAAAAAAAAUUAACGGAUUAACCCAUAAUUAAUUUGGUUAACCUAUGAAACCAGAAAAAAAAUCUGGGUUGACCCGUUAAACCGGGAAUGCGUGUUAUAAAAGUUUGAGAUACAAAAUUUUUUAACAUUAACAAAGUUUUUUUUUUUUUAAAUAUCCAUUAAACAAAAAAAGAAAAAAAAAAAAAACAAAAAAAAAAACGAAAAAAAAGACAGCUCAGUUAAAAAAAAAAAAUGAAAAAAAAGACUUAAAAAAAAAAAAAAAAAAGGAUCGGUGUUUUACUGUGGACUGCACUGUGCAGUCCACAGUAAAACACAGAUCUCUUUUAGCUAUAUAUAUAUAAUAUAAUAUAAUAAUUUAUCUAUUUAUCAAUGAGUUAAAUGACCCGCGCGAUGCCGCGGGUCAAUUAUUUUUUACAUUUCAAAAAAAAAGUUAAGAUCUAAAAGUGUUAAGUCUUUCUACAAAGUUAUACCCAAGAGUUUUAGGUUUGGUUGCAACGUCUAACCCAAUAGUAACAUCUAUAAUAUUAAUAAUAACAUUAAACUUGCAUGACUCAAAUUUAAGUGGGUUUGACUGUAAUACCAAACCCAAUAGCAUUGGACGUGAGUAUGGUUGCAAGGUCGUACGAUAAAAGUGUGAUAAUUAAAUAGAUUAAUUAAAUACAAAAAAACAAAGAAAAAAUAACUAAUAAAGAAAAAGAAAAAAAAUGAAUUAACCCUUCAAACCAGGUUAACCCGUCAAACCUUAGAUUCGCGUCGGAAAAGUUUGAUAACUAAACAGGAAAAAAAAAAAUUAAGGGGUUAACCCAGAAUUAAUCGGGCUAACUCGUCAAACCAGGUUAACCCGUCAAACCCGGAAUCCGUGUCAUGAAAGUUUGAUAACUAAAUAGAAAAAAAUUUAACAUUAACAAUUUAAAUUAAACAAAAAAAAUUAAUUAAAAAAAAAACAAAAGGCAUCAGCCUUUUUAUUGUGGACUGCACUGUGCAGUCCAUAGUCAAAAGCAUAAAAAACAACAAAAAAAAGAAAAAGAAAAACUAAAGGCACCAGCCGAGAACUACAUAGAAAAAAAUUUAGUAUUAAUUAAAUAAAAUUAAUUAAAAAGAAAAAAAACCUCUAUGAAGUAAAAAAAAAUUAAAUAGAAAGAAAUUUAACAUUAACAAACUAAACUAAAUUAAAAAAAUAAUUAAAAAAAAGCAAAAAAAAAAUUCAGGUUAACUCGUCAUACCAGACUAACCCAUUAAACCUGGGAUCCUUGUCAUGAAUGUCUGAUAACUAAAUAAAAAAAGUGAACGUUAACAAACUGAACUAAAUGAAAAAAAAUAAUUAAAUAGAAAAAAUUUGGGUUAACUCAUCAAAUUAUGUUAACCCGUUAAACUCCGGAUCUGUGCCAUGAAAGUCUAAUAACUAAAUAAAAAAAAUUAACAUUAACAAUCUAAAUUAACCAAAAAAAAUUAUGAAAAUAAAAAAACAAAAAAAAUUGACGGGUCAACCUAGAAUUAACUGGGUUCACCUGUGAAACUCAGGAUAUGUGUCAUGAAAGUCAGAUAACUAAAUAGAAAGAAAUUUAAUAUUAACAGACUAAACAAAACAAAAAAAAGUAAUUAAAACGAUAAAAAAAAGCAAAAAAUAAAUUAUGAGUUAACUUGUCAAACCAGGUUAACCCGUUAAACUUAAAAAACGUUUUAUGAAAGUUUAAUAACUAAAUAAAAAAAAUUAAACAUUAAUAAAGUAAAUUAAACAAAAUUUGUUUUGUUAAAAGAUAAAAAAAGAGCAAAAAAAAAAUCCUGAAAUUCAUAAAAAACAAUUAAAAAAAUAACACAACUUAAAAAAAAAAAAAAACAAACCUAAGGCAUUAUGAUCAUUGUUUUACUGUGUAUUGCACUGUGCAGUCCCGUGAAGGCCCCAGUCAAACACUGAUCUGUUUUAGUAUAUUUUACAAAUAUAAUAAUUUAUCUACUUUAUCAAUGAAAAGUAAUAAAAGAAAACGAAGACAAGAAAUAAAGUGAAGUCUUCUUCCGCAUUAUUAGCACAUGUGAAAAGAAAGAUUGGCAUGUAAUAAAAGUUAUUCCAAUCAAACCCACUUUAUUAAAGUUGUUGCAAAUAAAGCAAGGACAGGCCGAGUAAAGUGGGGGACAUACACUAAUAAGUUAACUAGCUUUGAUACCCGUGCGAUGCCGCGGGUUAUUUUUUUUAUAUACAAAAUAUUUUAAAAAAUAAAAAUAUAAAAAUCUUGAGUUUUUCUACAAAGUUAUACCCAAGAAUCUUGAGUUUGACUGCAACGACUGAUCUAAGAGUAAUAUUUAUAAUAUUAAUAAUAAAAUUAAACUUGCAUGACUCAAGUUUAAUUGAGCCUGACUGUAACACUGGACCUAAAAAUAUUAGAUGUGGGUCUGACUAUAAGGUCGUGUCAUAAAAGUAUGAUAAUUAAAUAGAUUAAUUAAAAAAAAACAAAGAAAAAAAUCAACAAAAGGAAAAAACUAAUGAAGAAAAAGAAAAAAGAAAAAAGAAAUUAAAUUAAUUGGGUUAACCCUUUAAACCAGGUUAUCCCGUAAAACUUGAGAUUUGCAUCAUAAAAGUUUGAUAACUAAAUAGAAAAAAAAAUGACGGGUUUACCCAGAAUUAACCGGGUUAACCUAUCAAACCUAGUUAACCCGUCAAGCCUGCUAAAAAACAAAAUCAGACCCAAUAGCCUUGUAUGCGGAUCUGGCUGCAAUGUCAUGUAAUAAAAGUGUGAUAAUUAAAUAAAUUAAUUAAAAAGAAAAAAAACCAAUUGAAAGAAAAAAACUAAUGAAGAAAACGAGAAAAAAUCUGAAUUAACUGGGUUAACCCGUUAAACCUUGGAUUCGUGUCAUGAAAGUUUGGUAACUAAAUAGAAAAAAAAAUUGACGGGUUAACCCAGAAUUAACCGGACUAACCCGUCAAACCAGGUUACCUAUCAAACCUAGGAUCCGUGUCAUGAAAGUUUGAUAACUAAAUAGCAAACAAAUUGAACAUUAACAACCUAAACUAAACGAAAAAAAUUAAUUAAAAUUUUUUUUUUUUUAAAAAAAACAAAACAAAAGACAUAAGCCUGUUACUAAUGAGGAAAAAGAAAAAAAUCUGAAGCAACUCAGUUAACCCUUAAAAUUAGGUUAACCCGUCAAACCUGAGAUUCGCGUCAUGAAAGUUUGAUAACUAAAUAGGAAAAAAUAAUUGAUGGGCUAAACGAAAAAAAUUAACAAACUAAACUAAAUGAAAAAAUUUGAUUAAAAAGGAAAAAAACAAAAAAAAAUUGGGUUAACUCAUCUAAUUAAGUUAACCCAUCAAACCCGAGAUCCGUGUCAUGAAAGUACGAUAACUAAAUAAUUUUUUUUUUCCACAUUAACAAACUAAAUUAAACAAAAAAAAAUUCAUUAAAAGAAAAAAAACACAAAGAAAAAACUAAAAUAAAAAACUCAUAGGCAUAAAAAAAGAAGGGAAAAAGAUCUGAAAAAAAAAAAAAAAAACAAACAAACACUUUAGCUACAGUAUUUUACCUACGCGUUUUAGUAUAUUAAUAUUAAUAAUAAUAAUAAUAACACUAAUUUGAGAUAUUUUUUUUACUUUGGAGUUUACAGGCAAAUAAAGUGAUGGAAGAAAAAGUCUUCUUCUGCAUGAUCACAUGAUGCGAAAAGCUUGGCAUUUGCUGAAGUUUUUCCAAUCAAACCCACUUUUUUCAAAGAUGGAAUUUCUCGGAAAAUAAAUCAAAGACAAGCCGAGUAAAAUGGAGUUCAGUGUUCUAUAUAUUUCUCAAGGGGAAAAAAAUAACGUCGUUUUCUUUUCUAUACAACUGUUUUGUUAGAGAUCUUAGCCGAUGCAUCUGAAUUAUAAUUUUUAGCAAUUAUAAUAUUUUAUAGCGCUAAUAUCUUACAAAAACAUAUUUUCUAGCUUUUUUUUUUUUUAUAGUAUGAUCAAAUAUUAAAAAAUAUUUUUCAACUCAUUAUCUUUAAUACAAUUAAAUUUCAUAGAAUUGUCUAUUUUUUUGAAAUAUAGUUUACUAUGAGAUUUAUUUGAUAAAAGAAAUUCACUUUGUAACAAUACACUAGAAAAAAAGAAGAAGAAGCUAAUGAUCAUUUAAACAUAUAGUCUCGCCAGAGAGACUAUAUUGGAAUCAUCUUGCUCAACAUGUCGAAUGAUGCAAGCGGAAGCAUAAUAAAACAACAAUAAACACAGACAAAAUAGAAAAUAAAGUUGAAUUAGGGUUAAACAUAAAAAAUCCUAUAACCUUAUUAUAUGUUUGAGUUGGCUUUUUAAAGAGGUUUACGAUGUUUUUUAUAACCUAAAAAAAACUGAUUACGCUAGAAAAUAAAAUUAAAAUCCCUAAAUAUAAAAGAAAAUAGCAUAAAACCAAAAACAAACAAUAAAUCUAAAAAUAUAUAAGAAAAAUAAUAAAUAUGAUCAAACAAACAACUUCAAAACCCGAAUCAUGCAAGUUAUAUAAUGAACAUAGUGGCUUCCCAUUAGAAAAAUACACAAGUUAUAUAUAUAUAUAUAUAUAUAUAUUAUAAUUAAAUUUAAAAAUUAUAACAAAUUAUUCCUGUUUUUAUUUUUUAACUUAAGGAUGAACAAUCUUGAAAAUGUGAGGAUGUUUAUUAAGGACUUGAGAUUGUUAACGUUGCAUCAACAGCCGGCUGAUCUUGUCAAUUCUGCUUAGACAAAAGGGUGUUGGCAAGUGCUUUCAAACGAUGUCAAGGAAAAAAUAAAUUUAAAGGAUAAAUUUUUUUUAAAAUCAAAACAAAAUAUAUAAAAUUAAAAGAUUGAAGAACAGAUUUUAUAUAAUCAAUAAAUAAUUUAAUAUAUUUUUUUAUUUUUUUACAACUUUUGAAAAAUAUAUUUGACUCAAAAUAAUAAAAAAUAUUUUUAUGAAAACAAGUCAAACAUUUUUUUAAUUUAGAAGUUUUUUUUAUUAAAUAAAUUUUUCAACGACAAACAAAUAUAAAAAAAGAAUUAAAAAAUGAUUUAUCAGAAAACCACAAACAAACUGUGCCUAGACUUCUUUAAUUUAGAAUUGCAAAUGUAUUUUGUUUGCAGUUUCUUCGUCUCUCUACCCUCCAAUCGAGGAUUUGACAACGACAUUGCAUGAUUUCUCUCUGGUCUAUGAACCAUUAAACAACAAUCACUCGAAACCCACGUACAGUCCCUGCCAUCCUCUCUUUCCAUUAAAAUGGAAGUCGCUGCAUGUGUUGCAUGUUCUCAUUAAGUCAAUAUGUGCAUGCAUGAUUAAUUAUGCACUUUGUAACCAUAAAUCUUCCUUUAAUCAUUCCAAAAAAGAAAAAAAUAGAAAAGAUUUUCUCUGAUCUGUUUGGUGAGUCCCAAUUAUCACUGGCUUUCAAUUUCCAUCCCGUCCUUUCUAGCUGGAUUGCGUGUUUUUUCUCUUCUUUUCUUUUUUGCUGGAAUACAAUAAUGCAUCACAAUGGUUAAUUCCAUGGUAAUUUCUUUAAUCAUUUAUAUACAUAAAUUUGGUUACAGAGGAGAAUGACACUUCCACCUCUAUAUUCAAAUAUUUAUUAAAAAUAUAGUUUAAUUGAUUAGGUUCUGAAUUUGUUUUUUAAAGGUUAAUAAUUCAAGUUUUAUAAACCUCAUAGUUAUUAAAGACUUACAUGAUCAUUAGCUUAGGACCUACGAAAUUAGUUGAAGUACGCACAAACUAGUCAAGAAAUCCAUGUUAAUUUUUAAAAAAAAAGUUUUGUAUUUUUAUUCAUUUUUAUUUAUAUAGUAUCUUUGAAAACAAAACAUCAAAUAUAACAUUGAUGGUUCAGAAAUAAUUCCAAAUUUCGAAGUAUACCAAAUAAUUACUUCCAAUCCACCCCAUUCAUAGAUCGUGUUAAAAACCAUGCUGUAUAUAUUUGAGGGGUGCAAGCGCCUUGUUUGAGGAUUGAGCAUAAAAGACUAAAAGAGUUAAAUAAAUACUAAAAGACAUAAAGUGAAGUUCUUAUAAUAUUCAUGGCAAUGGUCAUCAGCUCAUUUAUAAUUUAUUUAUAUACUUUAUCAAUGAAAUAAAAGUAAUAAAAGAAAAGGAGAGAAGAAAUAAAGUGAAGUCUUCUUCCGCAUUAUUAGCACAUCACGUGAAAACAAAGAUCGGCAUAUGAUAAAACCCAUUCUUUUCAAAGAGCAUAACAAGGGCCGAGAGAGACAAGGCUUUUGCGAGUUCUGUAUAUUUUUCUGUGGUGGUCCCAGCUAUUAUGUUGCUGACACUGGAUAGAGAGACUUCAACCACCAAUCAAAUUAUUUUUAUUGACCUUUUGUGCUGUUCGUCACUUUCCUUCGCUCCUUCUCUCUUUGCUGUCAAAUUUCAAAAACCUUAGCUAUUAGAAUAGUUGAGUGUUUGUUUUUGUAUUUUAAAAGAGUUUUUAAGAAUUUUAAAUGUUUUUAUUUUAAAUCAAUUUUUUAAUUGACUCCAUAAUAGAAAAGAUGCCAUCCCCCUAAUACAAAACUCUAAAAAAAAACAAUGAUCGUGCCACCACCGGUGGUUGUGCUGUUUUAUGACAUCACAAGCCAUAUAAGUAGCUGAUUAGAAUGAUUUUGUAUGGGACCCAGUUGUGACAUCAGCUGUUUUUGUGUUUUCUCUUUCAAUCAUAGCUAAAGACUAGGCAUGGCAUGAUAAUCGAUGGAUGGGGGUAGGGAUAAUGGGAGCCACAUGAUCCAUUUCGUGGUUGUUUCUUUCUUCUAUAAAGAAGAUCAUGCCAUCACGGAUCUUACGGGAUUGAUAUCUUGCCCGGUGUUGAUUUACUACAAUGGCUGCACGUGAACCCGUCCUCCAGGACAACUCCCAACAAGUGUCUGUCUAUCACUCUCAAAUUAAUUUGAUAUUUCUGUUCCAGUGCCUCCAUAGAAGAGUAUAGGUGUUAAUCAUUUUUUAUUUUUAUAUUUUAAAAGUUUUUUUUAAUAAUUUUUAUUUUUUACUUUAGAUUUUUUUUUGAUAUUUUUAGAUAUUUUGAUAUAAAAAUAUCAAAAAUAAUUUUUUUAAAAUAAGAAAAUAUUAUUUUAAUAUUUUUCCAAAUAAAAAACAUUUUAAAAAACAACAACAAUCAUAUUUUUAAACAACUCCUAAACCUUUCCCAUUUUUUUUGAGAUUAUAGUACCGAUGUUAUUUUAAUAUUUAAAAAAAAAAUCUUAAUUUUUUUAAAAUUAAAUUAAGCUUUUCUUUGAGUUCAAACAAAUCAAUGAGGAAGGUUGGUUAUUUGUCCUGCCGCACCAUCCUAAAAUGUAAUGUAAUAACCAAUGUAAUUUGAUGUUUGUGUUUCAUGGGUUCGUGUUGUUGAUGCGUGCUAUUGUACUUUCUAGGUGAUAAGGAAAAAAUUAUUUAUUUUGUCAAAUAAUUUAUAUUUUUUUAUAUUUAGCUUUGUUUGUAAUUGCAUUUCCAAUGUUAAUUUAUAUAGGCCUUGAAUUGGUACCUUUUUAUCAGUUUGAGCGUAAUUACCACCAACUUUCUGUAGGAUGAUAUGGGUAUUUUAGAUAGUGUAGCAUGAUCUUUACCUGUUACGUUUUUUUUUUAUAGGAUAAUUAUUCUCUCUUUUUAUGUUUAUUUAACUUAAGGAUAAUCAGUCUCGAAAAUGCGAGGAUGUUUAUCAAAGAGCAGAGAUUGUCACGCUGCAUUAACAACCAACUGUUGUAGUCAAUUCUGGUAGGCUAAAAGUCAUCCACUUGAUUGAUUAAUGGACAUUAGCUGUUUAGCACUCCAUGGUACUUCAGGCUCCUUUCCUACCCUUUUCCUCGCAAGUGACUUGUUAAUUUGCUUUAUUAGUAUCGGUAAUUUUGUGCAGAACUGUUAUUAUUCUUUGAAAUCAGGCACGGUUCGAGGAUUCAGCAUAAAAGAAUUUGGGUAUAUUAAUUAAAGCUAAAUUUAUUUUUUUUAAUCUCAACACAAAAAAAAUUGAAACAGACAUGUUUUUAUGUACUUUAUAUCUUGAAAAUACAAGAAUCCGUCUAAAUUAAUACAUAUUUAUUUUAUAUCUUUGUUUUCAUCUCCUUGAGCAAACGUGUUUUUAUCAUUUCAAUGUCUAUCGUUUUUAUUUAGUAAUAUUUAACCAAAGGCCACCUUAAAGAUUCAUGCAUGAAACAUCCAUUUCCUAAUCAAGUACUAGGCCAAUUCUUUCAAGUUUAUAUGUUAGACUUACAAUAAAACACUAUGUUAUGUUUGGUAACCAGUAUAAGCAUCAACAAAGUUAAAUAAAAGGAUCAAACCCAAACACAUUAGUGUAAAACAAGGAUCCAAUUAUCAUCGAGCCUAUUUUAACUUAAUCUCAACAAUCGUGUCACUAGUUAUUAAUUAUAACCCAUAUCUUGCACCAGAAAAAAGAAGUUACCAUAACCAAAGCACAUGCGUCUCAUAUAAUUUGAUUACUUGAAAUAUGUCUUUGAGGUAUAAUGACAUCGAAUAGACAAGGUAAUUGAAUUAAAUUAUAGGUCUUUUACCGAUAUUUUAUUAAAAUAAUAUUUGUUUAUUUUUUUAAAAUAAAAUAAAUCUUUUUUAUGCUGAUUUAACUAGGUUUAGAUCAGGUUUUGUCUAAUAAUAAAAUCAUUAAAAAUCUAGUAAGGUAAACAUAGUUUCAUUGCAUCAAUGCUUUUCUAAUUUAAUUUUAAAUUUGAUCAUGUCAAGAUUUGAAUUUUAUAGCUUCCAAUAGCAAAUCAAAUCACGGACAUAAUUAAAAAAUGAUACUAUAAAUAAAUAAAAAAGAUUUUGGAAUAAAAUGAUCCACAUAUAUAUAUAUAUAUAUAACAAGGUAAAGGGUCAAACGGUGGAAGAUAAAAACCAAUAAUGUCUCAUAAUAAUUUCAUUUAUUGUGAAGAGUUACUAUAUUGAUUGUUUUUAUAUUUUUUUUUAAAAUCACAUCCAUUUAUCUAAAAUUACUAGUCUUUAAAUAAUAAAAUAAUUUUUUAUAUAUAAUUUGCUCUACAGAUCACAGUUAUUAAACCCGGCCCGGCCCGGCGAGUCGACCCGGUGCUGGACCGGUUCGGGUUUAAUAAAAGACCGGUUGUGGCAACAGCCCGGCCAGACCCAGGCGACCCGGGCAAACCCGGACGAGACCCGAGUUUUUUUUUUUUUUUUUUAAUUUGGGAUAAAAAAAAAUUUGGUUUAAAUAUUUCAACUUAAAAUGAUAACAUAGUAUCUUUUCAAUGUGGGGUUUGAAGCCCUUUCAUAUAUAUACUUUAUGUUCACAUGAAAAAAAUUAUAUUUUUUCAAUGUGGGAUUUAAAACCCAUUAGUAUAUAUACUUUAUGUUCCCAAGGAAAAAAUCAUGUUUUUUCAAUGUGGGAUAAAAAACCUUUUAGUUUAAAUACUUCAACUUAAAGGGAUAACAUAGUAUCUUUUCAAUGUGGGAUUUGAAGCCCUUUCAUAUAUAUACUCUAUGUUCCCAUGAAAAAAGUUAUGUUUUUUCAAUGUGGGAUUUGAAACCCAUUAGUAUAUAUACUCUAUGUUCCCAAGGAAAAAAUCAUGCUUUUUCAAUGUGUGAUAAAAAUCCUUUUGGUUUAAAUACUUCAACUUAAAGGGAUAACAUAGUAUCUUUUCAAUGUGGGAUUUGAAGCCCUUUCAUAUAUAUACUCUAUGUUCCCAUAAAAAAAGUGAUGUUUUUUAAACUAAAAUGUUUUUUAUCCCACAUUGAAAAAACAUGAUUUUUUUUCUUUAGGAAUAUAGAGUAUAUAUACUAAUGGGUUUCAAAUCCCACAUCGAAAAAACAUAUGAAAAGUUUUUUGAGUUAGACAAAUACUAAGCAACAUUCUAGCAUGUGCAAUGAAGUUUUUACAAUAUUCGUAGUAACGGUCACCAGCUAAUUUAUAAUUUAUAAAUCUACUUUAUCAAUGAAAAGUGAUAGAAGCAUAGUUAUUAAACCCGAUCCGAAAGCCGGAUUUCAGAUUUCAUGGAUCAACUCGGAUUAACCUAAAAAAAUUAAAAAUACAUAUUUAAAGUUUUAAUAUUUCAUAUAUAAAAAUUAAGAAAAAAUUAAACUCAUGUAAAUAUAGGCUAUACUUAUUGUAAAUAAUGAAGUUUAAAAAAUAUAUUUUAAUUUUUUUUUAUCAUACAUUAAAAAGAUACUAUAUUAACCUUUUAAGUUGAAGUAUUUAAAUCAAAAACGUUUUUUAUCUCAUAUUGAAAAAAUAACUUUUUUCUUUGGAACAUACAAUAUAUAUAUUAAUAGGUUUCAAAUCUCACAAUAAAAAACAUAAUUUUUUUCUUGGAAACAUAUAUAUAUAUAUAUAUAUAUAUAUAUAUAUAUAUAUAUAUAUAAAAGGACUUUAAAUUCUACAUUAAAAAAAUAUUAUAUUAUCCUUUUAAGUUAAAGUAUUUAAACUAAAAAAUAUUUUAAAUUGAUCUGCUGAUAUGGUAAAAUCCAGAGAUUUCUUGGAAAAUAAAUGAAAGACAAACAGAGUAAAAUGGAGUCCAGAGCAUACAAGAGCCGAGAUUGAAACAGGAAAUGCAAGAAAAAAAAGAUGGGCCCUUGUUUUCUCUUUUUUAUGGCCGGCGACUGGAUAUAAAAAGGGAGGAGAUGAAGUGCCCGUUUGGUAACGUGGCUGCGGGUGAGGUUCACCCGCAGCUACGCCAAAUGCCGUUUGGUUAACAAGAAAAAAUUGCUUUUUUGAUAGUGGAACACAUGAAAUUUUCAGACGCGCCACAUGUUUUGGAGAAGCAGCAAAAUGCUGCUUCUCAUAGUAUAGAAAAGCAGAACAGUGGAGCCAUGCUCCACUGUUACAGUUUUAGUUUUUUUUUUUUUUGAAAAACAUUGCGAGAAGUUAAUUUUUUUUUUCUUGAAAAAUUAUUUCAAUUAAUUGAUUUUACUCGCAUUGUGAACGUGAACAUGAACAAUAUUAUUUUUUAAAAAAAUUAGUUUAAGGUGAAUUAAAUUUACUCGUAUUGUAAUAUCAAUUUUAUUCCUGAUAAUAUUUUAUUUAAUUUUAUUGCACGCUCAAAAAAUUAUUUUUUCUGUAGUUCUUGUCAAAUGAAUUUUAUACAUAAUAAAAUUGUAAUUUUUUUAAAAAAAUUUUGUUUUACUUGAAAAACUACUAUUUAAUAUUAUUUAAUAACACAUCAUAUAAAAAGAAAUUCAGUUUUUAUUUUUAUUUUAAUUGUGUUUUAUUCAAAAACUUAAAAGGAGAUCGCUCAAUGACGUAACAAAAAAUUCAGUUUUUUGUUGUUGCGCGCUUAAGAAACCAUGAAAAAUAUAGUCCUUGUUAGAUAGAUUUCGUAUGUAAUGACAUUGCACAUAGUUUAAUGGAAGAAUAAAAAAUAUUUGAUAUCAAUAUUAUUUAUUUCAUGAUAUAAUAACAGUGGUUAAAUCUACAAUAUUUAAAUUAAAAAUCAUUAAUAUAUAAAUUUUUUAAUUAUUUUAUAACCUCAAUUUGAAAAGUAUUUUUUUACCAGACACAUUAAACUACUUUUUAUUCAAUUUCAACCACAGUUUUAACUAAACAUAUAUUUUUUCAAACCAACCUUAACUAAAAAUACUUUUUAUAAAAUAACUUUUUUAAAAUAAUAACCACAAUAACAACCUCAAUACCAAACAGACCCGAAGCUUUCAAAUUAUUUACAAUUUUGCGGUCACUUAUUGUGUCCAUGUCGUUUUGUGUAAUUGCCCAGCUACCGGUACUAUUUUAACACUGUUAAAAGUCUAAAUUAUCAAUAUUUCCCCAAUUUAUCUCUAAAAAAAAUUCACUUCAAUUAAUAGCAUUUUUUUUUAUUUCUUUUGUCAAUGUUUACCUCUUUUUGAUAAACUUGUAUAUUUUUGUACCAGAGGUCUAAAAUUAUUGUGUCCACUUAUUACUUAUUUAAAUUCAUUAGAAUGUUUUAAAUAACUUUUUUAAAUUUUAAUCCCAGAGUUUACAUGCGUAAUACAUGAGUUAUAUAAAUUAUGAUUCAAAAUAUUGUUAUAACUAAAUUAAAAAAAAAAUACAAAUGAUCAAACCAUUGAUGCUGGUGAUGCUCUCGUCUCCAGAAUGGUCCGCUUGUACUUGGCUGAUGGAGCUGAGGGAAAGCCAAUGGCUACAAAGUGCGAAUGUGAUUUUCGCGAAAUGAAUUAGGGCAAGCAAAUUUUGUUCUCCGUCAUUUUGUAAAUUCUCGCAGCUGCUUGUUAGACGCCAUAAAUAGUCUAAGCUUGUUGUUGAGAUUUUUUAUUUUCUGUAUAUGAAUUUAGAGUUAAUUUCUUGAAUAUUAAGUUUUCUGAUUUUUCUAUAUAAUUAAUUUUUUAAUUUGAUUUGAUUAGUAUUAUCGUACAUUUCUCAUUCUAAAAAAAAAAAAAUACCAGAAGAAUAUUUUCUUUCUAUUGAAAACAUUUGUGGUUAGAACAAAGUAAUUUUUACUGGAGUGUCGUUUUGGGAUGCAGCAUGAACUUUACCUGUCUAAUUUGUACGGCGUGAGAAGAUGUUGCUUUCCAUGGCUUCUCCUUAAAAAAAUUCCAUCACAUUUGACAAUUUUGUUAUAAAAACAAAAGAUAUAUCUUUUAAAGAAGAGAAGUGAUACCUAAAAUUUAUAAAUGAUCUAAACUCUUAAUUUUUAAUCGAUGAUCAUGUUACUGAAAAAACGUACUACGCUUGGAGGACAUAGAGAACGUCCUACGCUUUCAUUCGAGUUUAGCGCACACGAGAAACCUGAAUUCUUUAUAAGAAGCUUGGUAUAAAUAUAUUUCUUCUUAGACAUUAAUUAUUCAUGCAAUUGAAGUUGAGUUUGGGUUAGGUUUUGGAUAGGGCAUGGUAAUAUCUAACCUGAUCUGAAACUUGAUUUUUUAUCUUCAAGUUUUACAUCAAAUCAACUUGAAUUAAAAAAUUUCUUAAUUAUUUGAAUAAGUUCAAGACAAUAUCCAUAGAAUUCAAGUGAAAUCGGCCCGAGGAGGAUAUACAAGUAGACUUCUAGUUUUCUCAAAUAUUUUAAUUUUAAUGAUUGGACAAGAGAGCAAAAAUACCAUAUUAAUAUUUUUUUUCUUUUUAUGAAAAUAAAACAUAUCUUUUCUCACUAGCACAUAUUCAUCCCAACUUGAAAAUACAUUUUUAAUAACGUGAUUAUACGAUGAGGUCCCCACUUGUCAGGUAAAGCUUCGGCACCUCCUUCAAUCCUAGUUUGGGAAACAGAAGCACUCUAUCACCAUUAGUUUUCCCCGAGGAAGACAGCACCCCGAUUCCCUCCUCCUGUGCUGAUGAUGGGGCAUGAGAGAGAGUCCAUACGAGUUCAAAAUAAAAUUAUUAAUAUAUAAUUAAAUAAAAUUAAAAUUCACCUAGGUAAAAUUUUUAUAUAGACAAAUGCCAGGAUACAAAAAUUUUAUCCCGGGAACAUGAAAUUUACUAUUUGGAAUAUAGAGGGAAUUUAGUAAAAUUUUAGCGUAUGUGUGCGUGCUCCAGUAAAAAGAAAAAGAAGAAAAGAAAAAGAAGGAAACUAUCAUUUACAUAUGAGAGAGAUAAAAUUGUAACGAAAACAUAAAAUCUUAAGGGAAGAUCUUGAGGGAAAGUAACUAAGCUUUGUGAGCAUUAAUUGGAAGGAAUAAAAAUUAAAUGAAGGUGAGUAGAAAAGAAGAGAGGAAGUUCAACCAAGAUUGAAGAAGAGGAGGAGUUGAAAGCUUGAUUUGGAAAGUGUUUAGAGUUUAAUUACUUGCUUGGUAAUGCAUUCUAAAGACAUUUGAUCUAAAUUUUAAUUGCUUAAAGUUCUUAAUUGGUUGAAUUUUUGAAAUUAAAAAGUUAGGGCUCUUGAAUAAAUUUGAGAAAAAUAAAAAUUUAUUUUAAUUUGUCAUGGGAAAUAAUAUGAAAAUUAGAGUAAAGUGAUUAAAUUAUUAUAAUUAAAGUAAAAAUUUUGAUAAUUAAAUAGAGCUAGUGGCCGGCUAAUGAUGAGAGAUUUUAGAGGAUUUAAUUGUGAAUAAAUAUUGUGAAUUGAUGAACAAUAUAGUAAGUAGAACUGUUUUUUGAAUAUCUCUUUAUAACUUUUUAAAUUUUAUGGAACACUUGUGUUGAUUCUUGAGAUUGUGUGAAAUAUUACUACCAUGAAAAUAAAAAAAGGAAUUGAUGUCUAGAUAAGAAAUAUCAUUGAGUUGUUGGUUAAAAUCCAUAAAACGGUCUAAUUUUUAGAAAUAUAGUUUACUAUGAAAUUUAUUUGAUAAAAGAAAAGUAGGAACUUUAUGGUAUAUUUCCUUGACAAUGAGUACCCGAUUAAACAAUAUUUAUAUUAAAUUAAAACUUAUGGUAUGUAUCCUUGACAGCGAAAUAAAGAAAAGUAGGAACCUUGUAAUAUCUAGGUAAUUUUUAUGCCCUUUUAAGGAGCCCUACAAACUGAGGCUAUAAUGAGCCCAUGACAGAGGGAGACAGAAAAGCAUAAUUUCAGAAGACCAUGACACAAAUCAACAGCUGAAAUCCAAUCACUUAAGGGAUGGUGACAUGUCGCAUGAGUGGAGACAACUGGUCUUCAGUACAAAAAGAAACAAAGCGUUUUCAUUGUUUAAUUUGUUUUUUGAAGUGUCUUUGUUCUCGUGAUUGCUCUUGUGGUGAUGGAGACUUUAAAAAGAUAGUUUAUAAAAAUUAUUUUCACUCGUGAUUUGUUUGAUUUAAAUAAAUAUUUAAUUAAAAAUGUUUAACUAAAAUUAUGAUUAAAAUGGAUGUUUUAACUUAAAUUACCACAAAAGACACUGGUAAAGGGGGAGAUGAUGUGAGAGACGAUUGGGUAUUUUAUUUAAUUGUCAAAACAUUAACUGUUGUGGUCAAUUCUGGUGGACUAAAAGCCAUCUACUUGAUUAAUGGCCCUUUUCCUCGCUGGAUCCUUGAUAUUUUCAAGGGGUGCAAGCGCCUUGUUCGAGGAUUGAGCAUAAAAAGAUUAAAAAGAGUUAAAUUGAAAUAUAACUAAAACGGAUGAGUGUUUUAUUUUUAAGUGGUCAAUUCCUAUUGUUUUACGUGUUUUUUUUAAAAAAAAUUUUGCUUUUUUUUUUAAGUUUUUUUUUUUUUUUUUAAUUGAGCUGUUUUUUUUUUUUACUUUUUGCUUUUUUUUUUCUUUGUUUUUGUUUAAUGGAUAUUUUAAAAAAACAAAAUUGUUAAUAUUAAAUUUUUUUGUAUCUCAAACUUUUAUAACACGCAUUCUGAGUUUAACGGGUUAACUCAAAUUUUUUUUUCCUGGUUUCAUAGGUUAACCAAAUUAAUUAUGGGUUAACCCGUCAAUUUUGUUUCUAUACAGUUAUCAAACUUUCAUGACGCGAAUCCCUGGUUUGACGGGUUAACUUGGUUUGAGGAUUAACCCAAUUAAUUCGAUUUUUUUUUUAUUUUUUGCUUUUCUUUUUCUUCAUUUUUUCUUUGUUUUUUUUAAUGGAUAUUUUAAAAAUAAUUUUUUUUAUUAAUAUUAAAUUUUUUUCUAUCUCAAACUUUUAUAGCACGCAUUCCAGGUUUAAUUGGUUACCUCAGAUUUUUUUUUUUGGUUUUUCUUUUUAAUUAAAAUUUUCAUUUUCACAAUAAAACACUGAUUCCUUAGGCCUUUUUUUUUUUAAAUUGUCUUAGUUUUUUUAGUUGUUUUUUUUAUGUUUUUUGGGAAUUUUUUUUGCUUCUUCCUUUGUUUUUUUUUUAACAAAAUUUUUUUGUUUAAUUUAGUUUAUUAAUGUUUAUUUUUUUUUUUUGUCAGACUUUCAUGAUACGUUUACCGGAUUUAACGGGUUAACUUGGUUUGACAAGUUAAAAUAUUUUUUUUUUUGCUUUUUAUUCUUUUUAAUUAAUUUUUUUUUUGUUUAGUUUAGUUUGUUAAUGUUAAAUGUCUUUCUAUUUAGUUAUUAAACUUUCAUGACACAUAUCCUGAGUUUCACGGGUUAACCUGGUUUCACGGGUGAACCCAGUUAAUUCCGGAUUGACCCGUCAAUUUUUUUUUUUUCAUAAAUGUUUUAGUUUAAUUUAGUUUGUUAAUGUUAAUUUUUUUUUUAUUUAGUUAUCAGACUCUCAUGACACAGAUCCUGGGUUUUACGGGUUAGCAUGGUUUGACGUGGUAACCCCUGUUUUUUUUUCUUUUUAAUUAAUUUUUUUUUGUUUAGUUUAGUUUGUUAAUGUUCACUUUUUUUUUAUUUAGUUACCAGACAUUCAUGACACGGAUCCUGAGUUUAACGGGUUAACUUGGUUUGACGAGUUAACCUGAUUUUUUUUUUAAUUAUUUUUUUCGUUUCGUUUAGUUUCUAUUUAGUAUUUUUUUCUUCUUAGAGGUUUUUUUCUUUUAUGUUUUCUUUUUAAUUAAUUUAGUUUAUUAAUAUUAAAUUUUUUUCUAAUUAGUUUUUGGCUGAUGCCUUUAGUUUUUUUUUAUGCCUUUGACUGUGGACUGCACUGUGCAGUCCACAGUGAAAAGGCUGAUGCCUUUUGUUUUUUUUUUUAAUUAAUUUUUUUUGUUUAAUUUAAAUUGCUAAUGUUAAUUUUUUUUCUAUUUAGUUAUCAAACUUUCAUUACACGGAUUCCGGGUUUGACAGGUUAACUUGGUUUGACGAGUUAGCCCAGUUAAUUCUGGGUUAACCCAUUAAUUUGUUUUUUUUUUUAAUUAUCAAAUUUUAAUGAUGCGAAUUCAAGGUAUGACGGGUUAACCUGGUUUGAAGGGUUAACCCAAUUAAUUCAUUUUUUUUCAUUAGUUUUUUUCUUCUUGUUGGUUUUUUUUAACUACUCUAUUUAAUUAUCACACUUUUUUAACACGACCUUGCAGUCAGACCCACGUCCAAUGCUAUUGGAUCUGGUAUUGUAGUGCAGACACUUUUAUGCUAAUGGUUAACCCAAGUUUAAUGUUAUUAUUAAUAUUAUAAACAUUACUCUUGGAUCAGGCGAUGCAACCAAAACUGAGACUUUUGGGUAUAACCUUACAAAAAAACCUAACACUUUUAGAUCUUGGUUAUUUUUAAAAUGCAAAAAAUAAUUGACCCGCGGUAUCGCGCGGGGCAUGUAACUAAUACUAAAAGACAUAAAGUGAAGUUUUUUCAGCUCAUUUAUAAUUCAUAAUUUAUUUAUCAAUGAAUGAAAAGUAAUAAAAGAAAAGUGAUAAAAGAAGAAGAGAGAAGAAAUAAAGUGAAUUACCAUCUUAGGAUCUCUUGGCAAAUAAAGCAAGUAAAAUUAAUAAAAUGUGGGACCUAACUCCAAUUUCCUAGCACCCGCAACCCACGCAUACACAAACCCGUACUUUAUCAAUGAAGGAAAAGUGAUAAAAGAAGAAAAGAGAAGAAAUAAAGUGAAGUCUUCUUCUGCAUUAUUAGCACACCACGUGAAAAUAAAGACUGGCAUAUAAUAAAAGUUAUUCCAAUCAAACCCAUUUUUUCGACGAUGGGAUCUCUUGGCAAAUAAAGCGAGGACAACCGAGUAAAAUGGGGGACAUAACUCGUUUUUCCUGGCACACGCAACUCACGCAUACACUAACACUAAUUUGAGAUAUUUUUUUUUACUUUGGAGUUUACAGGCAAAUAAAGUGAGGAAGAACAUCUUCUUCUGCAUCAUCGCAUCACGUGAAAAGCUUGGCAUUUAAUGAAGUUUUUCCAAUCAAACCCACUCUUUUCAAAGAUGAAAUUUCUAGGAAAAUAAAUCAAAGACAAAACCGAGUAAAAUGGAAUUCCCGGCAUAAUGAUUAUUUUUUAAUAUAUUUUUUAUUUUUAAAAAAAUUAAAUAAUAUUUUUUUAUUUUUAAAAAUUAUUUUCAAUAUCAACACAUCAAAAUUAAAAUGAUUUAAAAAUAUUAAAAAUAUAUUCAUUUAAAAUAAAAAAAAUUUAAUUUUUUUUAAAAAUACUUUCCACCAAAAACAUAUUAGUCAAUAUCUGCAUGAUUAAUUAUGCACUUUGCAACCAUAAAUCUUCCUUUAAUCAUAAGAAUAUCUGCUGUUCAUAACGAGUCAUUCAAGUAUGAUUAUUUACUUAAAUAAUUAAUUAUGUUUAAUUAGAUCUAUCCAUAAGUUUGCAAUUGAGCUAAUUGUUCUAUAAUUACUGUAGCUAUGAAAGGUCAAGCACAAUUUCAUCCAAAACAAAACUCGUUAUUUUCAAAAAGAAAAAAUACCCCAAUUUUUUUCUUAUAUUUUAGUAUUUUUUAUAUUUAAAGGCAGUAUAGUUGUAAUAUUUUCAAGUAAUCGAAACAACCACCUAUGCAUCAAUUAUAUGAUAUACUGACUUGACUUUCCCAAGUGUUUUGAGUUUUGAGUACUAGAAGAAGAAAAUAUACUUCUCUCUAAAAAAUAAGGAAAUUUCAGAUGUAUUUUCUUUUAACUGGCGAAAAAACAGGAAGACGAAGAAAGGAAUAUUUUAUUUCUUCUAGGAGUAUGGUUAGCACGAGAGAAAAGAAAAGGGAAAGGCCUAUCGACUCUUUUUUUUUCCAUGUUCACGGGUAGUACGGAUCGCUUACCAUGAAAGCUAAUGGAAAUGCUCUUUCUCCAUGAAAGCUAAUGGAAAUAUGUAUAAAUCAUCAUUUUAUCUUUAUGUAGCAUAUUGUCCGAAGAUUGGGAAAUUUCGUGGGAAAUUGUCCGAAGACAGGAAACGUAAUUUCUCUCUAAAAAAUAAGGAAAUUUCAGAUGUAUUUUCUUUUAACUGGCGAAAAAACAGGAAGACAAAGAAAGAAAGGAAUAUCUUAUUUCUUGUAGGAGUAUGGUUAGCACGAGCUAUAAGAGUUGUACACGAGAGAAAAGAAAAGGGAAGGCCUAUCGAUUCUUUUUUUCUAUGUUCACAGGUAGUACGGAUCGCUUACCAUGAACAUCAAACCUAUCAUUCAUAAACUGUGCCUAGACUUCUUUAAUCAUUUACAUAUAUAAAUUUGGUUAAUCAAGUUGGAGAAGUUCGUGUCAAGAACCAUGCUGUAUAUGUUUGAUAAUGCAGUGAAUAUAAUUUUACAACAAUAUUUUUCAAUUAAUAAAAUAUUUCUUAAAGAAAUUUUCAAUAAUCUUGUUAAGAAAUUUGGGUGGCCAGACAUUUUAAAGAAUGAUGCUAGUUUCUGGCCACAAGUGGUCAUGCUAGUGACUAAUCACUUUUUGAUCAUGUCUGAUACUGGUGGUGAUCUUUUUUAUCAUCGUAUUUUCCAUCAAUUUUUUUUAACAAAAAGAAAGUUUUUAAAAUGAUUUUGUGAAAAUAACUUUUUAUAAAACAAAUGGUAACUAGUUUUGCAAUAUAUGCGCUUCAAAAGAAAGACCAAAGGUGACAUUUAUUAUAACUUUGCAACCACUGCUAGAUGUUCAUCAUGGCGUCUUCUUCUUCUUUGCCUAGACCUGUUUUGGUUUCCGAUGUAUUUCUAAGUUUUAGAGGUGAAGAUACUCGCAAAAAUUUUACGGAUCAUCUUUACACUGCUUUAGACCGAGCAGGAAUCCAAGCAUUUCGAGAUGACGAAAAACUUCGUAGUGGUGAAGAAAUCUCCUUACAACUCUCCAAAGCAAUUCAAGAAUCCAAGAUUUCUAUAGUGGUUUUCUCUAAGGGCUAUGCUUCCUCCACUUGGUGCCUUGGUGAACUUCUAAAGAUUCUUGAAUGCAGACACACAACUGGUCAGAUUGUUCUACCUGUUUUCUAUGAUAUCGAUCCUUCUGAUAUUAGAAAACAGACGGGGAGUUUUGCUAAAGCUUUCCGUAGACAUAAAAGACGUUUUAAGGAAGAAAUGGAGAAGGUCCAAAAGUGGAGAAAAGCUCUUGUGGAGGCUGCAAAUUUAACUGGGCUGGAUCGUCGCAGUAUCGCAAAUGGGUACUUCUUUUCUUCCCCUAUAUCAAUAGCAAAGGCUCAUAACUUUUACCCUUAUUACAUUUUGUAUUUUAAAUUUGCAUUAAAUUCAAAAGAUUAUCUUUCAUCGAUGAGUGAUGACUUUCUUUUUCUAUCCACAGGCACGAAUCAAAAUUAAUUCAAAAGAUUGUCGAAGAAGUUUCAAGUAAAUUGUAUCCCAGAAGCAUGAACGUUAGUAGUCUGCUGCAGAAGUUGAAGACAGCAAUGAUACCUGGCAGGGGGCUGCUUGACGAUGCUGAGGAGAAGCAGAUAACAAAUGCAGCUGUGCGGGAUUGGCUGGUCGCGUAUAAAGAUGCUGUCUAUGAAGCCGACGACUUCUUGGAUGAGAUUGCUUAUGAAGAUCUACGGCAGGAGUUGGAAGCUGAAGCUCAAAUCUUCAUUAUCCCACGUGAAAUAAUGGGGUUGAGAGAGAUUAGAAGAAAAAUCAAGAGCCUCCAUGAGAGACUAGAUGACUUAGUAAACAAAAGGAUGCCCUUGGUUUGAAUCAACCGCACUGGAAAAGAACCAUCAUCGCAAGACAAAACUUCUCUCGUGAUGAAUCUGGUGUUUAUGGUAGAGAUGAUGACAGCAAAGCAAUACUGAAGUUGCUUCUAUCAGAUGAUGCAAAUGGACAAAACCCAGGUGUCGUUCCCAUAGUAGGAAUGGGCGGGGUUGGUAAAACCACGCUUGCGCAGCUUGUAUACAAUCACAGCAGAGUACAAGAGUGGUUCAACCUCGAAGCUUGGGUUUGUGUUUCAGAAGAUUUCAGUGUUUUGAAGUUAACCAAGGUUAUCCUUGAGGCGUUCGGUUCAAAGCCUGAUUCUGAUAGACUGGAUAAGCUCCAGCUUCAGUUGAAGAAGAGAUUGGAGGGAAAUGAAUUCUUGCUUGUUUUAGAUGACGUUUGGAAUGAAGAUUAUGAUGAAUGGGAUAGGUUUCUUACCCCCCUGAAGUUCGGAGCACAAGGGAGUAAGAUUCUUGUCACAACACGCAAUGAAAGUGUAGCAUCAGUCAUGAGAACUGUUCCAACUCAUCAUCUAAAAGAAUUGACGGAAGACAGCUGCUGGUCUGUGUUCGCCAAACAUGCAUUUCGUGGUGAAAAUCCCAAUGAUUAUGAAGAGUUGCUAGAGAUUGGCAAAGCUAUAGCAAGAAAGUGUAAAGGCCUUCCUCUAGCUGCAAAAACACUCGGAGGUCAACUACGCACCCAAAGAGAUGCCGAGGAGUGGGAGAAGUUAUUGGAAAGCAAUCUAUGGGAUUUACCCAAUGAAGGUAUCCUCCACAUCUGAAGCAAUGUUUUGCUUAUUGUGCCAUAUUUCCAAAAGACUAUUCAUUUAAAAAGGAUGAAUUGGUUCUCUUUUGGAUGGCAGAGGGCUUCUUAGACCCCUCUGCAGUAGAUGAUGAGAUGGAAAAAGCAGGUGCUAUGUGCUUUGAUGAUCUCUUGUCAAGGUCCUUUUUCCAGCAAUCAAGUGUCUCUCGCUCAUCAUUUGUGAUGCACGAUCUCAUGCAUGACUUGGCUACCCAUGUGUCCGGUCAAUUUUGCUUCAGCUCCAGGUUGGGGGAAAAUAAUUCUUCCAAGGCCACCAGAAGGACUCGACAUUUAUCACAUACGGGAGCCGGUUUUCGCAGCACAAAAUUGGAAAACAUCCGUGAAGCCCAACUUAUACGCACAUUCCAAAAUUGGCAUCAUUUUCCUGGUUGGUACUAUAAAGAGAUCUUUCAUAUAUUGCCAACACUUGGGCGCCUACGUGUGCUAUCCUUGUCUGUCCAUCCCGGUGCAGCUAAGAUGCUUUGUUCAAUUAGCAAGUUGAAGCAUUUGCGGUAUUUGGAUCUCUCGUCGUCAGAAUAUUUAGUAACGUUGCCUGAAGAAGUGAGUGCUCUUCUCAAUUUGCAAACGUUGAUCUUGAAAAAGUGCCAACAACUUGCUAGUCUACCUGAUCUUGGAAAUUUGAAGCAUUUACGACAUCUGAAUCUUGAAGGAGCAGGAAUCAAAAGGUUGCCUGCAUCUCUGGUAAGGUUAAUCAACUUGCGGUAUCUUAACAUCUCAUGGACGAAUUCUUUGAAAGAGAUGCCACCACAUAUAGGUCAACUUGCAAAGCUCCAAACGUUGACUUUAUUUCUCGUGGGAAGACAAAGUGAGAAUAGCAUUAAAGAAUUGGGAAAGCUACGACAUCUACGGGGAAAACUUCAUAUUGAGAACCUUGAAAAUGUGGUGGAUGCUCGGGAUGCUGCUGAGGCAAAUUUGAAAUGUAAAAAGCUUGAUCAUCUGAUCUUUAGCUGGAAUGGUAAGACUCAUGACCCGCAACACGUAACAAGCACACUUGAGAAAUUAGAGCCAAAUAGAAAGGUGAAGGAUCUUCAGAUUUACUGUUAUGGAGGUGUAAGGUUUCCGGAGUGGGUAGGAGACUCCUCUUUCUCAAAUAUAGUGUCCUUGAUGCUCUAUGGAUGUACAAACUGCACCUCCUUACCACCGCUCGGACAAUUAGCUUCUUUAGAGGAUCUCUCCAUUAAUGAAUUCCACAAAGUUGAGACUGUGGGCUCCGAGUUCUAUGGGAAUCGUACCGCUGUGAAGAAGCCAUUUGAAUCCCUCAAAAAAUUAUGUUUUGUAAGGAUGGCAGUGUGGCGCGAGUGGAUUUCAGACGAAGGCAGCCGGGAAGCCUUCCCUCUUCUUGAUGAGCUUACAAUCGUGGAAUGCCCCAACCUUGCAAAGGUCCUACCUAGUCACCACCUUCCAUGUGUAACAAGACUUGAAAUUAGAGCAUGUGAGCGGCUCGCGGCCCCAUUUCCCAGGUUUCAUAGGUUGCAAUCCCUCGAUGUUUCUGUAAACCGCGACUGGCCACCUUCUAAGCAAAUGGGCUGGGCUGCUCUCAAAUGCUUCGCCCUGGACUUGGUCCCCAACUUAAAUUCUCUUUCUAUCUCUUCCUGUCCAGAUCUGGAAUCACUAUGUGCACAUGAAAGACCUCUCAACGAUCUCACCUCUCUCCAUUCUUUGUCUAUCUGGGGGUGCCCUAAAUUAGUUUCAUUUCCCAAAGGAGGGUUACCUGCUCCAGUCUUGACACGACUUGUGUUAAAUCAUUGCAACAACCUGAAGCAGUUGCCUGAGAGUAUGCAUUCCCUCCUACCAUCCCUUAACCACUUGGAAAUAAGAGGUUGUUUAGAAGUUGAGUUGUGUCCAGAAGGGGGUUUUCCCUCCACAUUACAAUCACUUGUGAUUAGUAAUAGCAACAAACUCAUUGCAGGCCGCAUGCAAUGGGGCUUGCAAACGCUCCCUUCUCUUUCACGCUUUGUUAUUGGUGGCCAUGAAAAUAUUGAAUCCUUCCCUGAAGAGAUGCUUCUGCCCUCAAGUCUUACAUCUCUCAGCAUCAUUGGCCUAAAACACCUGAAAUCUCUUGACUACAAGGGGCUUCAACACCUCACCUCUCUUACAUCAUUGAGAAUAAUUAUCUGCCCUCUGAUUGAGUCAAUGCCAGAAGAAGGGUUGCCCUCCUCCCUUUUUAUUCUUGAUAUUUACUAUUGUCCAAUGCUGGGUGAAAGUUGUGAAAGGGAGAAAGGUAAAGAUUGGCCCAAGAUUUCUCACAUUCCUUACAUAGACAUCAGCACAGCAAAGAAGUAGCAGUUAAAAGGAGCUUUUCUUUCGAUCAAAGGCAACAUAUUUUUUUGAGGUAUUGCUACUAAAUAGUUUAUUUUCUUUUCUGUAAUCAAAGGCAAUUUCAGUUAAAAUUUGGAUGAAUGAAGUACAGAUAUUGUCCAUUUUGUAUUGUUUUUAUUUGUUGGAUGUUGAAAUACAGAUAAUUUCUUCCAUAAAUAAUAAUCAUCAUUCUGUUUCAAUAUAUCGAGCUGGAGGAUCAUCACAUGCUUCAGAUUUUGAACUGCCAGCACUAGUAAUUAUAAAUCCAUUGUUAAAAAGGAUUAAAAAAAUUAAAUUAUGUAAGUAAUUUGCAACGGAUUUUUCAUUAUUCACGUGCUUGGCAACAUCAAAUCUGCAACUGAUUCCAAAGAUAAAUCAAACCCUUAAUUAUAUAAAAUCCCCAUCCUUUCUCCUUUUCUCUUUUCCCGCAUCUUCAAAAAUUAAAAAAAAUAAAAUUCUCCAUCUCUUUCUCUAGUCUCUUCCCUUCUCCAAAAAUUCAAAAUUCAAAAACUUUUUUUAUCUUUUAUUUAUUAUUUAACUUUGAUUAGAUUGUUUUUAUUCCAUAUAAAGCAGAAGUUAAAAAAUGAUUUUGGAGUGCAUGUAAGUCAUAUCAUUUUUGGAGUGUACUUUGAUAAAAAAACAGACAUAAAGAGAGAAGAAAUAAAAUUCAUGACUCUUUAUCUUGCCCAAAAUAACAGCGAGGGCUCAUGGAUGCUGCACCAGGGUAAAGCUACAAAUGCCAACGCUGAUGAAGAGUUACAAGAAAUUGGUAGAGCAAUAGUGAGGAUUGUCUGAUGUUCAUCUAUAAUAGCAGCAGAUAAAUAAUUGUAGCUGAAGAAAAGAAUGGUGUGCGAGAGCAAUUUCAUAGAAAUGAAACUGCUUUUAUUGGACGUGAAACUUCUUGCCUCCAAUAUUUGUGUUUUGAUCUUCUAGCCUUUUGGUGUUCUAUGGCUUUGUUGCUGCCUUUUAGUCUUUUGGUGUUCCACGGUGCUGCUGCUUUUUGGCUCUUGAUUUAAUGGAAAUGCUGUCCUUGUAUCGUUUGGGUUUUGGCAUCGUUGGCUCCUGCCGUUGUCUGUUCUCCGGUCAUCGAAGCUGACAGCAAUCCUCCGACUCUGUUAUUGCAGUCAGAUGCUUCCUCAGUUUUAUCCUUUGGUCAUUUUCAAAAUCAGAUACUCCUGUAAAUAUUACAAAACAACUGUGACACUGCUUUUACUAUAUCUUAAUAGCUAUUUUUUCUUGGGAUAUUUAAUUUAAUUUACAAUAAAUUCUGGUUAAUUUACAAUAAGUUUAUAUAGCUUGAAAGUGAAGCUCAUCUUCUAUUUAGUUUUCUUAAAUAUAUAAUUUUAAAUUAAAUUACUUUUAAAAUAAUUUUGAGUAUAUCUUACAUGUUUAAACAUUAACUUUGUUGGAUGGAUGCAUUUUUUAUUGUAAAAAAAAAAACUUCAAAAAAAAAUUUUCUAACAAAAAAAAUGUUUUUUUAGAAAAAAUAUGAUUAAAAAACGUUUUAAAAACUCAUGGUCUAAAAUGGACAUUACUGAAAAGCUACUUUUUUCCAAGUAUUACAUAGGCAAGUAUGCGUAUAUGUUUAGGGUGAUAGGUAUGGGUCGAGUAGUAGCAAAAUAUUUUUUAAUGGUAAAACAUGAGAUAGGCUCAUUCACCUCUUUACCGGUCUUUAUUUCUUAAUAAAUUUUAUCCAAAUAUUUUUUUUAAAUGGAUAAAAUGGAUUAUAAUAUUUGUAAUGGAUAAUGACUGUUAAAAAAAAAAUUAAACUCAAAUUAUAAUUUUGCAAAUUUUAGUAUUUAAAAUAAAAUAAUUCAUAAGUGGUGAUUAAAGAGGUUACUAUCUUGGGUAACAUUCAAAUUCCAUCUAUGGGUGUUCUCUGAAAACUUGGCAAAUCCUCGCAAUCGUUGUUCUCUGAAAUCUGUAAAGAACGUUGUAGGAGUUCUAAAUCCUAGCACCCACCCAGCAUUGUUUUGAAGAAGUAUACCUUCUUUACUUGUUCUUUACCCUUUUUUAUGUUUGUAAUUCUUAUAUACAAGCAUUUGCUUUGAUUUUUUUGUCAGGAAAGUAUUAUGUAAACUAGAUUCAUUAUUUCUAAUUUGUAAGAGAAUAUAUGAUCAUAUUUAAAUACAUUAACAAAUUAAUUUCCUCAUUUCUCUUAAUUUUUAAGAAAAUCUUUCUUCUAUUAUAAUUAUAGUUAUUGUUUUUUUAAAUCUAAAAUCAAUGUCAUGGUUAAAUAGAAUGGUAUGUUAUCCUUAUUUUUAUUAAAUUAAAUUAAAAUAAAAAACUAAAUUUCUUAAACAAAUUACUGUUUACUAUGACCAUGAUAAAGUUGUUCUUUAACCGCUAAACCUUUUAACCCUUUAUGAUUUUUUAAUUUACAAAUUGUUUUCAAAUUAAGGAAAUUCUUAAGAAAAUCUAUCAUAUUAUAUAUAUUUUUUAAUAUCACCCCUUUAAUUUUUUAAUCGUUUAAAUUUAAUCUUUAUUAUUUUUCAUUGCUUUUUGUUUUUACAAUUUUAUUUUCCUUGGGUUUUUUUUCUAUGAAAUGGUAUCCUUAUUUUUUUUGUUGCUAUAUCUUUUAUUUUUGCAAGUUUUUUUAUUGAACCCGGGUCUAGAAUUACACGAGUUGCCAGUUUUAGAGUUUGACCAAGUUUAGUAGGUUUAUCCGACUUUACUUGGUUUUUUUUUUCUUUCUUGAGCUGAUUUUUUUUAUUUUUUUAUAGUUUUGCUUUGUUAUUUUUAACAGCUUAUCUUUUAUAAAGUUAGCCCUGAGUUUAUGACUAGAAUCAUCGGUUUCAAUGGGUUAACAUGAGAUGAUUUUAAAUUUUUUUAAUUAAUUUAUUUCAAUUUCAUCAUUCUUUUUUUUUUAUAUUUUUUUUUUCUAUGAGACUAUCUCAAUCUUAUAUUCAUGGUUGCGAAGUUGAUGAGUUUACCUGGUUUAAUAGAGUUUUUUAUAGUUUCACCUUUUGUUAGAUAAUUCGGAGGGCUCAAUUCUGUUUUUUUUUUAGUUUUUUUGUCAUUGUUAUUUUUUUAAUUAAUUUAUUGUAGUUGUAUUUUUUAUAUAUAUUUUGAACCAAUUAGUUGUAUCUCAGUUUUUUUUUAAUGUAAUAUUAUUUUUUUAAGUUAAAAAAAUACUUCCUCUCGCAGUGGAGCACGGACACAUGUUCCAGGGUACAUUUUAUAAGAUAUGAUCCGAGGAUACGAUGUAGAUUUUGUUAAGGAGGUUGUGUAUUAAUUUGUUAAUAUGCAUACUGCCUACUUGUGGAACUGAGUUGCAUAGCUGAGUGGUACUUGCAGGUUCAAAUGGUUUGAAGAUUCUGAAACAUUAUUAAUUUGUGCUCAAACUCUUUGCAUUUCAGCAUCCUCUACUGGUUGGUGCAGGCCUUAACUAAACGAAAAGGUGAUUUUAUUGUAUCUCUUUUUAUAAAAUAUUAUUUUUUUAAACAGUUAUAUCCUUUAAAAUUAUAUUUAUUAAGAAUUGAAUUUUAUAACUUUUAUAAUUUAUUUAUUUACUUUAUCAAACUUCUGCUGCAUGAUCACAUGAUUCACAUCACGUGAAAAGCUUGGCAUUUAGUGAUGUUUUUCCAAUCAAACCCCCUUUUUUCAAAGAUGGAAUCUCGAGGUAAAUAAAUCAAAGACAAAACCGAGUAAAAUGGAGUCCUGAGCAUAACAAGGGCCGAGAGAGAAAAGGCUUUUGCGAGUUCUGUGUUUUGUAUACUUCUCAAGGGGAAAAAAUAAUGUUUUGUUAGAGAAUUGUUUUUGAUAGAAUUGUUAGAGAUCUUAGCCGAUGCAUCUGGAUUAUAAUUUUUUAGCAUUUAUACUAUUUUAUAGCGCUAAUAUCUUAAAAAACUUAUUUUCUAGCUUUUUUUUCAUGGUAUAAUGAAAUAUUAAAAAAUAUUCUUCAACUCAUUAUCCUUAUUACAAUUAAAUUUCAUAGAAUAGUCUAUUUGUUUAGAAAUAUAGUUUACUGUAUGAUUUAUUUGAUACAAAAAAUUCACUAGAAACUAAAAAAAGAAGAAGCUAAUCAUCAUUUAAAAAUAUAGAAUAUUGGAAUCAUCUUGCUCAAUAGGUGAGUUUGGGAGUUUGGUUGCUUAACAGGUGAGUGAAGGUUAAAUGUACCCAAUUAAAUCAUAUCUACAUUCAAUUAAAACUUAUGGUAUAAUUACUUGAUAGCAAAAUAAAGAAAAGUAGGAACCUGUAACAUCUAAGAAAUUUCUAUGCUCUUAAAAUUAAGCGUCCAAACUAAGGCUAUAAUGAGUCUUGAAUCUACACAGAAGAAAUUUCAUGGGAAAUGUAAUUUCAAAGACCAUGACUCAAAUCAGCGGCUAAAAUCCAAUCACUCAAGGGAUGGUGACAUGUUGCCUUGAGUGGGAGACAGCUGGUCUCUAGUACGAAGAGAAACAACAAUAUAAUUUUUUUUUUAUUAAAAGUGAGUGUAUGAGCUUCCAUGUAUUUUAAUUUAUUUUAUUAAUUUUAAAAUUAAUAAUUAUAUAAAUUUUUAGUAAUUCUAAAAAGAUUUGAAUUCAUAAUUAUUAAAAUAUAAAUAUAAAACCUAAUCAAUUAGUACCCCCACAGCAGUGUUUUCAUUGUUUAAAAUGGAGUGUUUGUUUUUCUUAGAGCUCGUUUGGGUACGCGUUUGCGUUCGCGUUUCUUCGAAAACGCAUGACAAUGCUGUUUGGUUACAGAUCGUUGAACAAUUAAAAUACAUGGGCCCCACCAUUUACCUGCGGCUGGAACACAAUUUUUUAAAAGCAGCAAGAUACUGCUUUUUUACGAGUUUCAACAAUAUUCACCAGCGAAUUGCACUGUUCACGUGACUUUCUUUCUUCUUCUUUUUUUAACAGUUUUUUUUUAUAAUUUUUUUUUUAAAAAAAAGUAGUUUAGAGUGAAUUAAAUUUACUUACAUUGUGAUGUGAGCAAUAUUUUUUUUCCCUGAAAAACUAGUAUAAAAUGAAUUAAAUUCACUCAAUUUUAUACCUGAUAAUGUUUUAUCUAAUUUUAUUACACGCUCACAAAAUUAUAAAAACUGUAGUUCUUAUUGGCUGAAUUUUAUACAUAUUGGAAUUAUAAAUAAUUUAAUGGAAUAAUAAAAAAUAUUUUAUAUAAAGUAUUAUUUAUUUCAUAAUGUAAUAGGAGUAGUUAAUUCUACAAUAUUUAAAUUUAAAACCAUCAAUAUUAAUAUAUAUUUUUUAAAAUUAUUUUAUAACCUCAAUUUCAAAAGCAUUAUUAACUAAACACAUUAAACUACUUUUUCUUCAACCUCAAUUUCAACCACAAUUUUAACCAAACAUCUAUUUUUUUAAACCAACCUCAACUAAAAGUACUUUUUAUAAAACAACUUUUUUCAAACCACAACCACAACAGCUACCGCAAUACCAAACAGACUCUUAGUGUUUUUGUUCUUGUCAUAGCUCAUGAUGGCGGGGGCUUAAAAAACAUUUAAAGAAAUUAUUUUUUCUUGUGAUUUAUUUGAUUUAAAUAAGUAUUUAAUUAAAAUUAUAAUUAAAAAUGUUGUUUAAUAAAAAAUAUUUUAAAAUAUUUAAUUAAAAUUAUAAUUAAAGAUAUAUUGUAACUAGAAUUACUAUAAAAAAAGAUCCUAGUGAAGGUGGAGAGGAUGAGAAUAAUGAUUGGAUAUCUUAAUAAUUGUAAAAAGAAAGUAUCUUUUUAUGGUGAAGUUAUCGGUAGAUGAGAAAAUACUGAGUUUUGUAGCUCAGAAAAAAACGUCAUUCAACUAAUAAAAUGAUCCAUCUACAUAAUAAUAAUAAAAAAAACCCGCCAUUCCCACGUGUGGAAGAUAAAAUUAAUCAACCUAAUCUUAUUGGAUUACAUUUUAUUAUUUAUAUCAAACAAUCAGUAUCCUUAAUACUGAUUAAGGAUAUUUUUGUUUUUGCACAACUAUACAUUUUAAUAUAAUAAUUUUUUUAAUCUAAUUUUUUAUUAUUAUUAUUUUAGUAUCAUUUUGUUAUUUCUAACAGUUUGCGUUUACAAGGUUAGUCUUGAAUUAUGACUAGAAUCAUCAAUUCUAAAUAGGAAUGUAAGUUGAUUUUUAUUAUUUUUUAAAAUUAAUUUAUUUAAAUUUUAUCAUUAAAUUUUUUUUUUCAUGAUUUCUUUUUAAGAGACUAACCCUUUAUCGACAAACACUAAUGUACUCUGAAAAACAUAAUCCUAUUGCAUCUUACGCUUUAAAUUCCAACAAGGAGUAGGAACCCUGCAUCUGGGAAAUUUUUACUAGGCCUCCAAUCUGAGGCUGUAAAGAGCUGAUGGGUUGAUGUCAGAGGUAGACAAGGAACCGUACUUUCAGAAGACCAUGACACAAAUCAACGGCUGGAAUCCAAUCACUCAAGGGAUGGUGUCAUGUUGCCACGAGUGAGAGACAGCUGGUCUCCAUCUGAAUGUUUAAAUAUGAUUGGGUAUCUUAGUAAUUGUAUAACAAUUGAUUUUUUUUUUUUAAAGUUGUCGGUGUGGAUGAAAAAUACUGAGUUUGUAGCUUAGUAAAAACAUGUUGAUGUUACUUUUUAUUAGCUCAUGGUUGGCCCAUAAAUUGUAAUAGGUCCCACAAUCACAAACCUACUAUUCACAUGUAAUUUAUGUCUUACAACUUGUUUUUUAAAUUAUUAUUUUUAUAUUUUUAUACCAUUUUUAUUUUAAAAAAUUUAAGUUUAAAAAAUAUUAUUUUAAUAUAUUUUUAAAUAAAAAAUAUUUUAAAAAACAAUAAUAUCUGAAUGUUUUAUAAAUUUUUACAAUCACUUUUACAUUUUUUUUAGAUCACAUUUGAGAAUGCAGUACACCACAAUAAAGUUUCGUUGUUGCUACAUGAUUAAAGGUAAGUAAUUGUCUUGCAUUUACCUUUAAAACUGCUAUCAAGAAUUAAUUAAUUGCGUCAAUUCAAUUAUUUCUAUUGACAUUGAUACCAAACAUGUUAAUUCAUGAUAUAAUUAAGCAAUUCAAUACAAAUUUACUAAUAUAAUUUAUUCCGGCGUAAAGCUUUGAAUAUAGCCAAAUGCAGAGGUUAUGCAAGUGAAAUACCUUAAUAAUUAAAUUAAAAAAAGAAAACAAAAUAUAAUGUAUAAAAUAUAAUAAUAUAAUUUAUAAUUUAUUUAUUUGCUUUAUCAGUGAAAAUUGAAAAGAGAUGGAAGGAGGGAGAGAGAAGAAAUAAAUUGAAGUCUUCUGCUGCCUGAAGAGCUUGGCUAGUGAUGUUUUUCGAUCAAACCCACUUUUUUCAAAGAUGGAAUUUCUCGGAAAAUGUGUGAUCCAGAGAAAAGCCUUUUGCGAGUUAUUAUGUUGCUGACACUGGAUAGAGACACUUCAACUAUCUUUUCAUUAUUUUGAGCGCAGUUGCCACCCACCUUUCUGUGGCUUCAUGCUCCUUCUCCAAACCAUUCAUAUAUAGUGCAGCCUGAGCUUUACUGGUUACGUUUCCUUUGAGGAUAAUUAUUGUUAAAUUAUUUUUUGUUUUAAAAUAUAUUAAAAUAAUAUUAUAUUUUUUAUAAUUUUAAUAUAAACACAUUAAAAUUAUUAAAAAAAUCAAUAAUUUAAUAUAUUUUUAAAUAAAAUAUAUUUUAAAAAAACAUACAUUACGAACUAUUCUCUCAAACACACAAUUUUAUUCCAUCUUAAAACUUGAGAUAUUAGAAUAGUCAAGUUCCCUCGUUAAAUUUACAAUUGUGGUAGUGGGAGUUGUAUAACUCAUUAAAAAAUAAAUUUUAUAUUAAAAUAAAAAUUUUAAAAAUAUAUUGAUUAAAAAUGUGAGGUGUUAUUCUGCAUUAUUAGCACAUCACGUGAAAAGAUAGAUUGGCAUAUAAUAAAAGCAAUCCCAAUCAAACCCAUUUUUUCGACGAUGGGAUCUCUUGGCAAAUAAAGCGAGGACAAACCGAGUAAAACAUGGGACCCAACUCCAUUUUCCUGGCACACGCAACUCACGCAUACACACACUCAUUUGAGAUAUUUUUUUUACUAUGGAGUUCAGGCAAAUAAAGUGAUGGAAGAAGGUCUUCUUCUGCGUGAAAAGCUUGGCAUUAAUGAAGUUUUUCCAUUCAAACCCACGCAUACACCCUGUAAUAUCUAGGAAAUUUCUCUGCUAUUUAAAUUAGGCGUACAAGCUGAGGCUGUAAUGAGCCCUUAAUCAACAUAGAAAAAAUUUCAUGAAAAUGGAUUAAUGUCAAAAAUAUAUUUCAAAAAAUCAUGACUCAAAUUAGUGAUUGAAAUCCAAUCACUUAAAAGAUGGUGACACGUUGUCAUGAGUGAGAGAUAACUGGUCACCAGUACAAAAAAAAACAGUAACGUUUUCAUUAUUUAAAAUGGAGUAUUUGUUUUGCUAAGUGUCUUUGUUAUCAUGAUAGCUCUUGUGGUGAUGGAUGUUUAAACAUGAUUGGACAUCUUAGUAAUUGUAAAAACAAUUUUUUUUUUUUUGGAUGAAGUUGUCGGUGGAUGAGAAAAUACUGAGUCUGUAGCUUAGUAAAAACAUGUUGAUGUUACUUUUUAUUAACUCAGGGUUGGCCCGUAAAUUAUAAUGGGUCCCACAAUCACAAACCUCUGAUUCACUUGUAAUUUAUGUUUUAUAACUUUUUUAUUUUAAAUUAUUAUUUUUUAUAUUUUUAUACCAUUUUUAUAUGAAAAAUAUUUUUUAAAAAAUAAAAAAUAUUAUUUUAAUAUAUCUUUAAAUAAAAAAUACUUUAAAAAACAAUAAUAUCAAACACCUAAAUGUUUUAUAAAUUCUCUACAUUCACUUUUACAUUUCUUUAGAUCACAUGAGAAUGCGGGACACCACAAUGAAGUCCGUGGUUGCUACAUGAUUAAAGGUAAAUGUCUUUUAAAACUGCUAUCAAGAAUUAAUUAAUUGCGUAAAUUCAAUUCUUUCUAUUGACAUUGAUGCCAAACAUGUUAAUUCAUGAUAUAAUUAAGCAAUUCAAUACAAAUUUACUAAUAUAAUUUAUUUCGGCUUAAACCUUUGAAUAAAGCAAAAUGCAGAGGUUGUGAAAGUGAAAUACCUCAAUAAUUUCUAUGCUUUACAACCCUAGGAGCCACACAAAAUAUAAUGCGUUUGUUACUAUUAAUUUAUUUAAAAAAUAAAUUAAAAUAUUUUUUAAUAUUUGAUUAUGUUAUAGAAAACGAGUCAAAAAAUAAUUUUUUAAUUUUUUUCUCAAGUUUAUUAAAAAAAUAAGAAACAAAUCUUACAAAUAAAAAUAUUGAAGGAGAAUGAAAUUGAAAAAUAUAUAUUUACAUAAAUUAUUUUAAAUAAAAUAAAUAACAAUCAUAAGAAUGAGAGCCAAAUAUGACAUAUAAAAAUAUUUAAUAAAAAAUAAAACAAUAAUAAAUAAAUAAAAUUAAUAUAAAAAUAAUACUAAACCAAGAAUUAAAUUAAAAAAAGAAAACAAAAUAUAAUGUAUAGUUUAUAAUUUAUUUAUUUGCUUUAUCAAUGAAAAGUGAUGGCAGGAGGGGAGAGAGAGGAAAUAAAGUCUGCUGCCUGAUCACAUCACGUGAAGAGCUUGGCAUUUAGUGAUGUUUUCCGAUCAAACCCACUUUUUUCAAAGAUGGAAUUUAUUGGAAAAUAAAUGAAAGACAAACCGAGUAAAAUGGAGUCCAGAGCAUACAAGAGCCGAGAUUGAAACAGGAAAUGCAAGAAAAAGAAGAUGGGCCCUUGUUUUCUCUUUUUACGGCCGGCGACCGGAUAUAAAAAGGAAGGAGAUGAAGCUUUCAAAUUAUUUAUAAUUUUGCGGUCACUUAUUGUGUCCAUGUCAUUUUGUGUAAUUGCCCAGCUACAAUUUAUAAAUGAUGUAAACUCUUAAUUUUUAAUCGAUGUAAAAUGUUGGAGUAUCAUGUUGCUGAAAAAAUCUUUUUAAGUGUAUAAUAUGUUGCAUUUGGGGCAAAAUUAAUAGUUUUGAAUGUUUUUAUUACCGAAACCUUUUUUUUUUCUCAACCUCUUUCUCUCUCUCUUCUUGUCAAAUACAAAAGUUUUUUUUUUUCAUUUUUUUAAAUGAUUUAAUUUUAAUUUUAUUUUAUUUUAUUUUUAUCUUUUGUAGAUUUGUAUUUUAUCGUUUGAUUUUAUUUAAUUGUUUUUAUUAAACAUGACCUUUAUUUACUUUAUUUAUUAUUUUUUUAAUUAAACGUUCUCUUAACAUUUAUUUUCAAUAUCAGAUUUAAUUAAUCAUAUUAAUCCUAUUUUAUCUUACACUUUAAAUUCCAACAAGUACCCGAUCCAACAAUAUCUGCAUUCACACUUGAGGGUCUAACUUAUUGGUCAACUGCAAGACUUGUCUUUGCGAACGUCUUGGGUUCGAUCCUCUUUGUGUACCCUGUCACCCCGCGGUGUCUUACCUGUUCACCGGGCUUGCAGGAUAUUCAGUGGACUCGAGGAUUAGUUGUGAUGCGCGCAAGCUGACCCGAACACCUCGGGUUAUAAAAAAAAAAAAAACAAUAUCUGCAUUCAAUUAAAACUUAUGGUACAGCGAAAAAAAAAAAAAAGAGUAGGAACCAACUAAGAAAUUUAUGUGCUGUUCCCAGCUAUGUUGCUGACACUGGACAGGAGAGACUUCUUCAACCACCGAUAAAAUUAUUUUUAUUAACUUUUUGUGCAAUUUGUUACUUUGUUUCGAUCUUUCUCUCUUUGCACCACAAACACUUGGACACGGUAGAAACCAAGCACGGUUUUUCUGUCAAUGUACGAUACCGUAUUUAACAAUAUCUUUUUAUUUUUAUUUUAUGAAGAGUAGUAUGUUGGUGAUCUAUGUAUGUUUUUUUUAAAAAUCACAUAUAUAUUUAUCUAAAAUUAUUGAUAUUUAAAAAAUUACAUUAUUUUUUUAAUGACUCCUUCCACUGUUCUUGUAGAAUUAAGCAAAUAUUAUGCAAAGCUUCAAGUUUUGUGUAAUUGUUUUUAAUACAAGAGAGUUUAACCAUUUUAAAAUGUUUAAUGAGUUCUUUAAAAUAUUGAAAGUAAUGUACAAAAACUAAUUUAUAAUUUUAUUACAGAUCGUGCUUUAUUAUAGGUCAAGUCAAGUUUUUCUUAAGAAUAAAAAAUUAUUUAAAUUAUGAAUGUUUUAAUUUAUUCUGGUAAAAAAAAUUUAAAUCAUGAUGUGAUCUAACUUGAUUGAAUUUGUAGUUCACAAAACAACCUAGAUAACAAAUAAAAAUAUAAUUUAACUUAUAAAUUUUUUCAAGAUUACAUAUAUUUUUUUAAUAUUAAGAUAAUAACAAAUUAAAUUGAUUUGGAUAAACUCAAUUUAACUUAUUAAAUUCAUAACCCGUGUUAUGAGACUAUGAUAAACCUGUAAAAAACAAAUUAUUAAGUUUAAUUCUCAACCACCAAAUAUUAAAAGAUAAAAUUAAAAUAAAUAAAUAAACCAUGUGGAGAUUAACUCAAUAUGACUUAAUUGAUUUAGCUUGUUCAAAAACAACCAAGAUAAUCACUAGAAAUAUAAUCUGACUUGGAAAAAAUUUCAAGAUGAUAUUUUUUUUUAAUAUAAAGAUAACAAAGUAAUAGAUCGAAUUGGGUUAAGCAGAGUUAGCUUGUUAAAUUUUUUAUUUGGGUAUGAGACUAUGAAAUCUAAUUCCUAAGCAACCAAAUAUUGAAUGGUAUAAUUAAAAAAAUAAUCAAUUAAAAAAAUGAUUUAAAAAUAUGAACGGAGUUAACAUGUCAAGUCCAUAACCUAUCUUAUAAUAAAGAUAUAAUCUUAUAAAAAAAAUCAAAAUAAAUUAUGAAAUUCAAUCUUAAACAGCUAAAUUUUAAAAGAUAAAAUUUUAAAAAAAUAAUUUUAAAAAGAACAUAAAAAUGACCUAAGUAAAUCCCCCAAACCCAUAGCUUAUUAAGAGAUCGUGAUAAUCUUGUAAAAAAAAAAUUACAUGAUUUAACUCGUUAAAUUUAUGACUUUGGUUACAAUACCGAGACAACCUCUUAAAGAGUAAAUAAAAAUAAAUUGAAAAGUGCAAUCCCUAAUUGACCAUGUCAAACCCGAUGUGAACGAUGCAAUUUUUAAAAUUUUGAAUUAAAAAAUAACAUAAAAAAUAAUUUAGGUUAACCCAUUAAGCAUCAUUCUUAGAUUACGAGACCAGGAUAACAUAAUAAAAAUAAAAUCAAAACAAACCACAAAGUCUAAUUCCUAAUAAAACAUUAUUAAAUAAUAAAAUUGAAAAAAAAAAAGUUAAUUAAAAGAAAUUUGAGUCAAUUAGGCUAACUUGCUAAGCCUGCAAGUUAGGUUAUGAAACAUAAAUAACUCAAUAAAAAACAAAUUUACUAUUGAAGGACUAGUGACGCAGGUCAUGAAAUAAAGAUAACCUUUUACAAACAAAAUUAAAAAACAACUCAAUUUAAUUUGGAUUAAAAUGUCAAAACCUUCGUCUCUAAUCAUGAGACUAGGAUAACCAUGUAGAAAAUAAUUUGAAAUAGAUUAUGAAGUUUCAUUCUCAACUGACCUGAUAUCGAAUGAUAAAGUUGGAAAAAAAUUCAAUUAAAAAAAUAUAAAAUACAACCUGAGUCAACUGAGGUUAACCUGUUAAGUAUUAUUUCCGGGUUACGAGGUUAGAAUAAUCUAAUAUAAAUUAAACAAAACAAAACAUGAAACUUAAUUUUUAAUUAAAAGAUAAAAUUGUAAAAAAAAGUUAAUAAAAAAAAAUCAAGUUAACUUUUUGUUAUAAAAGUGAGACAACUUAAUAAAAAAAAUUAAUAUUAAAAUAAAAAAAAUCAUUAAAAAAUACUCAUUCAAAUAAUUGUAUAAAACAUAAUAAUAUAAACUAUAAUUUAUGAUUUAUUUAUUUAUUUUAGUAUUUAGUGAAGUCUUUUCAAUCAAACCCUUUUUUAAAAAGAUAUAAUUUCUAGGAAAAUAAAUUAAAGACAAACCGUGUAAAAUUCUAAAAGAAAAUAAAGAUGGGAUAUUGUUUCAGUUGCGGCUUGGAUACGUGUUUCAAAAAUAUUUUUAAAAAAAAUAUAUUUUUUUAAUUUUAAAUUAAUAAAUUUUUAGUUUUUUUAGAUCUUUUAAUAUAUUAAUAUUAAAAAUAAUUUAUAAAAAAUAAAAAUAUUUUAUUUUAAUAUAUUUUUAAAUAAAAAACAAUAAGAGACAACCGUGACCACUUAAAUGAAGCAUACCAAGUUGAGAGUUGAGGAGCCGAGAGAGAAAAAGCUUUUGCCAGUUCUUUACGCAAAUUCUUUCCCCUUCUGUCACCUGAACAAAAUCCCCUCUUCUUCUUCUUCUUCUUCUUCUUGUUUGUUUACUCUUCCUUCGUUACUUUGCAAAGAGGAGAAACCAUGGCCGGGGCUUUAGUAGGAGGAGCUUUUCUUUCUUCUUUCCUUAAUGUUUUGUUCGACAGGAUGGCCUCUCCCCAGGUGGUGGCCUUCUUCAGAGGGAAAAAAGUCAACGAUAGUAAUCUGCUGCAGAAGUUGAAGACAACAAUGACAUCUCUCAGGGUGGUGCUUGACGAUGCUGAGGAGAAGCAGAUAACAAGUUCAGCUGUGCGGGAUUGGCUGGCCGAGCUUAAAGACGCUGUCUAUAAAGCCGACGACUUCUUGGAUGAGAUUGCUUAUGAAGCUCUACGGCAGGAGUUGGAAGCUGAAGAUCAAACCUUCACAAGUCAGACGCAGAAGCUUCUUUCUUUCAUUAACCCACUUGAAAUAUUGGGGUCGAGAGAGAUCGAAGAAAAAUUAAAAGUCCUCUUGCAGGAUCUAGAUCCCUUAGUUGAACGAAUGGCAGCCCUUGGUUUGAACAACCGCAAUGUAGAAAAUCCACCAUCGCAUAGAACACCAACAACUUCUCUCGUGGAUGAAUCUGGUGUUUAUGGUAGAGAUGAUGACAGGGAAGCAAUACUGAAGUUGCUUCUAUCAGAGGAUGCAAAUGGAGAAAACCCUGGUGUCGUCCCCAUUAGGGGAAUGGGCGGGGUUGGUAAAACCACGCUUGCUCAGCUUGCUUCCAUUCUCUCCUUUUCUCCUUAUCCGCAUCUUCAAAAAUUCAAAAUCUUUUCCCCACCUCUUUCUCUAAUCUAUUCCCCUUCUCCAAAAAUUCAAAAUCCAAAAACUUUUGAUUUAUUUAUUUUAUUAUCACUUAACUUUGAUUAAAAAACUUUUCUUGAAGUUUACUUCCAUCAAAGAUCUUUUAUAGAUAUAAAAAGAAGAGAUAAUAUAAAAUUCAUCCGCGUAUUGGAAUCACAAUUCAGAAUCAAGUUAAAGCGGCCAAUGUCACUCGAGAGAGUAGGCACUUGCAAAUCUGCUAAUAAUUAUUGGAGCAUCACCCUUCCGCACAAUCAACAGAAAGUCAUCAUCUUGAGAACCCACAGCAAAGAGUUCAUUUUUUUGCAGUAGAUACGUAGCUAUAUUAACAACGAUACUUCCAGCAUGCACAAAUGGGACUUCUUGAUGGUUACGCUGCUAAAGACAUUUACAAAUCCCCAUCAAUACUGGUGUUUAUUCCUCAUGAUGAUCCAGUGAGCUGACAAUAAAAGAAAACCUCGGCAUUACUAGUAAAUCGUCACUGCAAGCAUGGAAGAGAUUCAGGUAGGAAUUACCCUUGUCUUCAUUGAGAGGCUUUAACCUCCCUUGUCAGCAGGCCCAUGGUUCGAUGCAUCCUCUGAAGCGUCUAAGCAAGGAUUGCUUUUACACUGACUUACAGGCUGAGAAAGUUGGGACCCCUUUUGCGAAAAGUUUGGUUUACCUUUCGGAGUCUCAGACAGGCUUCCCGUUGACAGCUUUGCUAGGCCCAUUGUCUUGUGCUCACGCGGGAGCUUUGUUGAAAAAGGUGAUUCAGGUGUAUCAGGAUGCUUCCCAGGAAUAUCCAUCGGUCUAUGAAACAGCAAAUGAGCCACAGUCCGGUCUACCGGAUUGGUCUCUGUUUCCACCUCAGGCAUCUUAACCACCCUGCAGUAUACUCAUAAAAUCCAUGAGGAAAAUGACAGGAAACUUUGAGAUUGCCAUACUCUAAACAAAUUGAUAAAGACUUGAUUAAUAAUUUUGUGCAAACAAAUUGAAUGAUUUGAAAUGGGAAGGACGAGAUGUAAAGGAACAAACCCAUUGGAACAAGAAACAAUCACAUUGUCGCUUACAACAAAAAAUCGAGUUUCAGAUCAAAACAGCUUAUGGUUUUGGCUGGAAGUGUCCCAUUUAGACAUUGAUGAGCCGAUUAGAAGAUGAUUUGAGUUCUUAAAUUUCUUGCUUAAAAUGUAAUGUAUCAUGAUUCUGCAGAUGAUCAUUAAAUUAGAAGGGAAAUUUAAUUUUGCCCUGUUUAUCUAAAGUUGUGCAAGUUCUCUGCAUUGAUGAUUCCAGUGAAUUUGUACAGAUCUUGUUUUCCUUCUAUUUGUCCUUGAAUAAACUUAUUGCACUUGUUGAACAAUCUUUGUUUCUCUCUCUUAGUUAAAUCUAGUAAAAUUUAUCAUGUAUGUUGUGCCACUCAUUUAGACUUGGAUGUGCGUGUUUAGCUCUUCUUUUCGGAUUAAGGUGAUUAUGCACAAAUUCACUGGAAUCAACAUUGCAGAAAACUUGCAUAGAUUUUGUUAAUAUUGGAAAAAUUAAAUUCGUUUUCUAAUUAAAUGAAAAUCUCUCCUAAAUAUUAUGCUAUUUGAAUUGUCACCUCAUGACUACUUGCUGCACUGCACUCAUGAAUGCUGCACCAGGGUAAAGCUACAAAUGUCAGUUUAAUAUCUGCCUCUACCUAGGUUGGCCUACAUACAAUACCAAAGCUUCUCUCAACUAAAUCAAGACAUGAUGACCAGCACUCACAAUCAUAACAGAACCAGUGGAAGCGAACUACUACAUAUUUGAUCAACAAGGUCAAAUUCAGUCAAGUUUUUAAGGAAAUCCAGUGAAAGAGGAACCUAAAAUUUUCUGUUUAGAUUUUCUUCUACUUCUAAGAACAAGCGCUGCCUUAAUUGAAUUGUUUCAGUCACUAUUCCUCCAUUGUAAAUAGAGGAUACCGUUUUCAAUAUUUAUUUCCAGAGUGAGAAUGGAAAACAGAAAAUGGUGAUGGCAUUAAAAGAUCCUAAUUUAACAUUUCCAUAGAGCAAAAAUGUUUUUUAAAAAAGAGAGAGGAUAGAUUAAAUUUGAAAACAGAAGCAUGAGAAAUGCAUUACCUUAACCAACCUUCUUUGACUACUAUUGUUUGUACUGCCAGUAUCACUAGCAUAAUGCCUUUGCAUUGCACUUUGAGCCAGCCGGAACAAGCUAUCCCGAAUACAAAGUCUAAUUCUGACAUCCAACUGUUGUAAAACAUUGGUUUGGAAUCGUAACCAAGCACAAAUUAUUUAGCAGGGAAAGAAUGCAAUAGUAGGUGAAGCAUACCUUUGAAAUAAUAUCUUGAAGCCUGUAGAGUACUGUGUCCUCCAUUGAAUAAUCAUUAACCGCCAGAGAGACUGUAUUGGAAUCGUCUUGCUCAAUAGGUGAGUUUGGGUCAAAUGAAGCAAGUGUACUUAGAUCCUCUACUUCAAGGUCAGCUCCUUCAACAUGCUGAAUUUGAUUUUCUUGGGAACACUUUUGAUGAACAAGCUGCUGCUGCUGUUUCUGAAUGGCAAGCAUUGCCUGAAUUUGUUGCCGCCUCCUUAAUUUUUCAAUCUUUUCCUGAGGUGUCAUUCUCUGGGGUUUCACUGGACAGUCAGCUAACUUGUUUAUAGGAUUUGCAUUGCCUGAAACUUCAUAACCAGAAAUUUUAGGUCGAUGAUUAAAUGACUAGAAAUUUUGUUGGAAAGUCAGAAAACUUUAACAGGAUUCGCAUUACCUGAAGAAACUUCAUAACCAGAAGCUAAAGGUUGAUGCUUAAAAUCCCCAGACUGAAUGUGGGACAACCCAGGCAUAGAAUAUGGAUUUGUAAUACUCCCGUAGGCAGAAGGGGCCACAAAUGGAUUGGAUAUCUGCUGGUACUGCAACUGCUCGGAACCCUGUAGCUGCUUCUGUUGGCUGAGAAUUGAAGGGGGAGAAGAUUGCAUAAUUUGGGGUUCUAAAUGAUCCUUAAGUUGACAGGCUGGGAUUCCAGAUGAAGUCCAGUUUCCAUAAAAAUCUUGGUAUGAUUUCAGUUCACCUUUUUCUUCCAGUUUUUCCCGACCUUUCAAGAUCUUCUUUUGCCUGUAAGUCUGAUCACAGAACUAUAAACAUAUAAAUAGACAAAUUACUUAGAAUAGAUCAACGUUUUAACCAUCUAGACCUGCAGGGGAGAGUGACUAAGGCACAGUUAGUAUUUUAACUCAGUACAUGGUUUGUAAGGAUAAAUUCAAUGUUAUUUUUUUUUUUUAAUUGUAACUUACGAUCCAAAGGGCUUCUAUUGUUCAGAAUAUAUUGAGGUAUUAGCUAAACUAUGCCAAGCAAACAGAAUUUGCAUGUCCCUGGGAAGAGUGGGUGUCAUACUAGAAAUAUAAAUUACUGAUGCCUCCUGAAUUUUGACAUGCUAUUCCUUUCUCCUUCCUACUAACAGAAAACCAGACAAUGGCUUUACUUUAGGCAAUCGAUAUCAUGGUUAAGUCAUGGAUUUGACAUCAAGGAUAACUUAAUUGAUGCAUUAUUGAAGUGAUGACUAAAUCAUGUAAAUCCAUAUUCACCCAACAUCCAAGUUUAAUCUCAUUCCAAAAAAUAAAACUAAUAGCAUGAAUUAUGAAGAGACGAAGAGGAAUUUAAAUAAUAUAAUUUCUCUUUUCUGUCGCCAUUUUCCAUUCCAGAGAAGUACUCAGGAAGUCUUAAUAAGUUCAAGUGUAAGGUAACUUUUACCCUUCCCAGCUCUAAUUAGGUUUCGCUGUCCCUCCAAUCUAAUUUAAGAUCUAAUAUGAGGAAACCACACUGUAUUAGUGAAAGGAUCACAAUAUCAAGAUUUUCCAACUUCAAUUCACUGAUAUAACUUUUCUUGAAUCCUGGACAAAAGAACUUAGAACAUCAAAAGAUCAUAGCAGGAUUCUAAAAAACAAAGAUUGUAUUUGGUGCCUAUUGAGUCUAAAAGUUAUCUUGGAUGAAAAGGGUAAAAAUCAGUAAUAUGUCUGGUUCAGUAUCAAGAUUUUGAAAAUAUCAAAAGGAAGAAAAAAAAAGGUACCUUGUUUGCUAAUUCAUUUGGAAAAGCACCAUUUUCCUCUGUCAGUUGAGAGUUAGCCGCCGUGUUCUUUCCCACAACAGCCAAAUCUGUCUGCAAAAGCACAAAAAAAUAAAAUAAAAAAUGCUAAGCUUCUCUCAGCUCCUGCACUUGAGCAUGGGGCAUUAAUAAGUGAACUCAUUACUGAAAAUUGAGUCGCUAUACCUGCUCCUUCAGUAUAGGCUUGUUUUUACCUUCAUCAUAUUCUACAUGAUCAAGGCUUGCCUGAGUAUUCUGCAGACCAUGAGAUGCAGGGUCGUUCAUUUUUCCAUAGCCAAGGGCAAACAGCUGGUCCUCUUCUCUCGAAGCCACAGAUAUUGGAAAGGGCUUUACCGGGCUGUUAGUUGUACAUUUUGAAGAAGACCAUAGCUCAUCAGCAUUACCAAGAUUUACAUUGCCAAAUAUUGGGUCAUCAUUGCUGCAAAAUCACCACUUGUGAGGAUAUUGAGUCAGAUGGUUAUCACUGUUCUCCAACAGAAUCAAGAUAAAAUAUAAGAACAUUAGUGAAGAACAGAAAUGCAGGAAAGCCCUUCCACAAUUGAACAAGCUCACCAAUUCCUUACAAAUCCAGUGCUGCUAUAUUACAUUCUUUCUGCCAUUUAUACUUGUAAUUGAGGAUAUUGUGCUGCUAAAAACUCGCAUCCUUCAGGUUCUUUUCACAAUUAACAAAAUUAAGCCAGGAUCAAAAACCAUAAAUUUUCAAACAACUAGUCUUUUUUGUUAGUGUUGCUUUCAGCAGACAGCACUUGUUUGGAAAAGGAUAUAGAUCCAAAACAGAAGAAACUACAAUUAUUAAAAGAGUCUGGUUGUUUUUCCUUCACAACAACACUCUUGUAGUACAUGAUUUUUUUCUUCUGAAAUGAAAAUAGGCAGUGAGCAUAAUUAUUUUGUCCGCGAAACUUUCACUUCACAGUCAGUAAUAAGAAUUUGUUCAAAUUAUCAGAAUAAUGAGAUGUACAAGCUUCCAUAUCAGGGUGCUGCUGACCAUCUUUCAUUUAGGUGCAGAAAGUAAGAAAUGGUAACUGUGCUUUACCUAAAAAUUCGAUCAAGAUCAUCAAAGCUUCCAAUGCUAGCCCAGCCAUAAUCAACAAAAUCACCUUGCUCUUCACCUUCAUGAGGAUUUUGAAAAAUCUCAGUGUCCUUAUCAAGAUGAUCUGUCUCUGCGUUUUAAAAAAAAGAAUUAGAAUGACAGUAGCAUGUAAGAUACUAUGCUAUGAAAACAUCAUGCAACUCGUCACCCUAUCUACAUUUUUUCCUUGUAAUUGAAAUCUCAUCACCUGCUGAUGAAUCGAGUUUGGUAAUCUCAGUUAGAUUGUUAGAGAUUGAAGUUUCCAAGGAAUCCUGCUCAGUUUUGGCAGCAUUACGUGAGGACAAGUUAGGCCAUCGGUCCAUGUCAAGUCCUAAGGAAGAAGUUCCUUCACUUGUGUCAACAUUCGAAAUGCUCUCCAGCUUUCUGCCAUCAGUAUCAACUUUAGCCCCGGGUGCCUUCUGCUCACUAGAUUUAAUGGUGCUAGCUUCUUCACUCGAUUCCUUUUUCUUGCAAUAAUCUUCACUUGCCUCUGGAUAUGGCACGAUAUGGUCAUCACUAUCUUCAGCCUCACCCCAUAUUAUGUUCGUAAGCUGAAAAGAUAGUGAGUAAGCAUCAUCACUAAAUGUGGGAUACAUGAGAAGAAUGAAACAGUCACAAGUUAAUCUCUGGGUAACUUGGCAAGACUAUUUUCCCCAACAUAAUAUUCUGAAUAAUACACUAAUUAAUCAGUUCAGUUCCUUGUAAGGUGUGCGUGGGCACAUAUGAGCACACAUGUGUGUACGAGAGUUGCUAGUGUCAAUGAGUUGGGAACAAAAUAUUUAAUUGAGUCAUGCAGAAAAUACUAAAAUGUUCUAAAUUGUGUUAAAAAUAAAAUAGAAAGUAGAAGCCAUUGGCAUGAUUCAUUUAAAAAUUUCUACAAAAUUAAAAAAAGAAAACAAAACAAAAGGAGGAGAUGGCCCAAAGCAUGCUCUCAAUAAGAUGAAGUAAGACCUAAAGCUUCAUUGCAUGUACAGAGCACUUUGGAAACUUCAGUCUGGACAAAUAAAACCAAGGCAAAGUAUCUUCUUUUUGGAACUAAUUUCUUCACAGUAAGAUAUAACAUCCAACGCUACCUGCAUCACUUUCUCAUGGUCCUCUCUGACUCGAGUGAUCAUAAACCUUCUCAAAUCCCAUUUAAAGAAGAUUCCCUUUCUCACUUUUCGUUGGUAUUAUUUGACACCAAGAUCACAACCAAACAUUACCAAUAAGUGUGUCACCGGAGAAAGAAACUUAGGUGCCCUAAUACCAUAAAUAAAACCUAUUCAAUAAAAAUUAGACAAUAUUUUAUAGCUGUACAUCUAUAAUCAAAGUAAAAUGCCCAAAACUCUGAAUCCUGAAUAUGUGAAUCAAAGUAAAAGGCCCUAACUGAUGCACCAUCAGCAGUCUCCUACUUUGACUUGUGAUUAAUGACCUAGCAGUUCACUUCAACAACAUUAGUGAACAUAAGUUUGAAUUUCAGACCCAGCAAGAAGAAGUACAUUUUCCAGUAGGCAUGCAUAUCACCUUUUUAUCAAUAUCCAUGGAAGACAAACCAAGCAAUAUCAAGUUUUUUUCUGCUGGAUAUCCAAUAAAAAAUACCUCAUAGUGUGAACAUCUUUAAGAAGGAGGAUAUCACAUUGCACCCCAUCAACUGAUCCACAAAUAAAUUUGCAUCUUUCCAUCAGUUCCAAGCUCUUUGUAAGGAAAAGGGAGGGAAGUGCCUUCAAAGAUACCUUCUUCAUAGCUUCUUUAGAUAUGAAUCCACACGGCUUUCGUAAUCACCAAUCACUAUGCGCAGCUUCUCUUAUCAUCACAAGCUCCAUCUCUUUCCACGUCCUAACUUCAUUCGAUGAACUCUUCCCUCAGUUCCCAAGAAAAAUUAUAUUCAUCCCUCCUGCAGCCUUUUCCCUGCAUAUUUCCACCAGCUUCAUAGCUAUAUGGCCUGUGAAAACUGUCGUUGUUGCAGUGAUUCUGAACAACAAAAAUAACAAAGGAUAAUGCUUGUGUUUAAGAAGAGAUUGAUGAAUGAAAAGCUUAAAUACUUUAUUCAUAACUGCAGCUCAAUUUAUAGAGCUGAUACAUAACAAACUCCUACGAUCAUGGUCCUACAUUCAAGCCAUGAUCAAUUGAUAAUGGAAAUAACAGAGCUGCGAAAUAGCAGCAAGAACAAGAGAAUAGGAACAGAAUUGACUAAAUCAAAAAUUAAAGAAAGAAUAAAAUUCCAGCUCAGCAGUCCUGAACAUUAUUUCUAACACUCCUCCUUGUUUAGGAGCUGCAAACUCCCAACUUUGUUCUCAGAAAUUCGAAUUUGUUGACUGGCAGUGGUUUGGUGAAAAUAUCAGCUGCUUGUUCUUCAGUUUUGCAGUAAAUAAGAAUGAUACUCCAAUCUUUCUGCACCUCUCUCAAAAAGAAUAAUUUGAUGUUGAAGUGCUUGGUUUUCCCGUGAAACACAGGAUUAUUAGAGAUGGAAAUGGCAGCUUGAUUGUCAACUAGAAUUUCUGUGCUUUCCUUUUGCUCCAGGUUAAGAUCAGAUAAAAUUUUCCUCAGCCACAAAGCUUGAUUGACAGCAGCUGUUGCAGCCACAAACUCAGCUUCAGCAGUGGAUUGGGCUACGGUUUCUUGCUUUUUUGAAUUCCAUGAAAACACACCAGAACCUAAAGAGAAACAGUAGCCUGAUGUGCUCUUCAAGUCAUCAAUUGAGCCUCCCCAAUCACUGUCAGAGUACCCGACCAGUUUGAACUCUCUACUUCUUGUGUAUCUUAUGCCAAAAUUGCAGGUUCCUUUGACAUAUCUUAUCACUCUUUUAGCAGCCUUGAAAUGCAAUUCACUAGCACAAUGCAUGAAUCUAGACAAGAUACUCACAGCAUUCAAAAUAUCAGGCCUAGUUGCAGUGAGAUACAUCAAGCAUCCAACAAUUUUUCUGAAUUGUGCUUGAUCAACCUUCUCGGCUCCAUCUUCUUUACAUAGCUUCUCCUUUUGAUUCAUAGGAGUGCUUACUGCUUUGCAAUCUUCAAGUUUGAACUUUUUGAGGAUUUCUUUGGCAUACUUCUUCUGACAUAUGAACACUUCAUGUUCAGCUUGCUUAACUUCCAUUCCAAGAAAAAAGGACAUCAAACCCAAAUCUGUCAUCUCAAAUACACUCAUCAUCUCUUGCUUGAACGUCUCCACAUUAUUGUUGUUAUUUCCUGUUACAAGCAAAUCAUCAACGUAAAGUGAGAUGAUAAGGAUGUUAUCACCAUUUUGCUUGAUGUAAAGAGUCGAUUCAGAGAGGCUUUUAGUGAAUCCCAAGUGCUGCAAAUGUUCAUCGAUUCGGCUGUACCAAGCUCUUGGAGCUUGCUUCAAUCCAUAUAGUGCCUUCUUAAGAAGACAGACUUUGUCCUCCUCUCCUUCAUUUGCAAAGCCUUCUGGUUGCUCAGUAUAGAUCUCCUCCUGCAAAACACCAUUUAAAAACGCUGACUUGACGUCCAUUUGAUACACCUUCCAAUUCAGUUGUGCUGCAAUGGCAAGUAGCAGCCUGAUAGUGUCAAGUCUUGCUACCGGUGCAAACGUGUCUGAGUAGUCCACGCCAAAGAUUUGUGCAUAACCCUUCACCACUAGCCUGGCUUUGAGCUUAUUGAUUGAGCCAUCAGCGUUGAGUUUUGUUCGAUACACCCAUUUUACACCGAUUACAUUUCUGUUUUGAGGUCUGUCAACCAACUCCCACGUGUUGUUUCUCGUGAUCAUGAGAAGCUCCUCCUUCAUCGCAGCAAGCCAAUUUUGAUCUAGCUUGGCUUCUUCAAAGUCUGCUGGUUCACACACAGCAAUGUUGCACCUUUGAUACACAUCAAGGAGUGACCGUGUGCCUCUAACAGGAGUGUCAUCUGUCAUGUUGAUGUCCCAAUCUUCCAUGCUUUGAUCAUCUGUGUCUGAAACAAGAUAAUUGCCUUUUGGAGAGGCUGAAUCUUCUUUGAUUGCAUCGUUCCAAUCCCAUUCUUCAUCUUCCAGGAAUUGGACAUCUCUGCUUAUAACGAUUUUUCCAGUUUGUGGCUGGAAAAUCUUAUAAGCCUUUGAAACUAAGCUGUAGCCAACAAAAAUGCCUGGAAGUGCUUUCUUGUCAAGUUUAUCCCUCUUGACCUGUGGAACAAGGGUGAAGCACAAACAUCCAAAUACCUUAAGAAAAUUCAGAGAUGGUUUGUAACCAUACCAUGCCUCAAAGGGUGUUUGAUCCUUCAAGGCUCUUGUAGGCAGUCGAUUUUGCAAGAACACAGCAGUGUUUGCAGCCUCUGCCCAGAAUUUCUUUGGUAAAUUCUUCUCAUGUAGCAAGCAUCUUGUCAUUUCCAAUAUGAACUUGUUUCGCCUCUCACUAACUCCGUUUUGCUGAGGAGUAUACGGAGUUGUUAGCUGAUGAUGAAUGCCUGCCUCCUCACAAAAAACGUUGAAGGCAUUGGAAGUGUAUUCCUUGCCAUUGUCUGAUCUGAGGGCUUGAAUUUUGCAGCCACUUUCAUUUUCAACUUUGGCCUUGAAAUUCCAGAACACCUGUGCUACCUCUGACUUGUGCUUCAAGAAGAAAAUCCAGCACAUUCGGCUGUAAUCGUCAAUGAAGACAGCAUAAUACAGACUCCCAUUUAGAGAGAGUGUCCUUUGUGGUCCUGCAAUGUCAGUAUGAAUCAAUUGCAGCUUCCUUGUUGCUCUCCAUGUGGCUUCUGGAAAGGGCUUCCUGUUUAGCUUGCCAGUGUGACAAGUUCUGCAGCUGGAUAUGUGAUCAUCAAGUGCUGGGAAAUCCUUAGCCAUCAUCUUGGAUUUCAUAAGCAUCAGCCCUCUAUGAUGAUAGUGCCCGAGCCUCUUGUGCCAAAUAUCUGUGAUAUUUUCUUUAAUUGGGAAAGCAGUAUGCUCCUCCUCCAAUGGAUUUAGAGCAAAACUCUUCCCUUUCAUGAUUAUUUUGAAAAUAUCAUGACCAUUCACAUCUUUGAUCAAGCAGCAAUUGUUUUCAAACACUACUUUAUAACCCUUCUCAAUAAGCUGACCAACACUGAAUAAAUUUUGAUUUAUACCAGGGACAUACAAUACAUCAGAGAUGAACUUAGUACCUGAGCAAGUCAAGAUUGCCACGGUUCCCUUUCCUUCAACAACAAGGUAUUCUCCAUUUCCAAUUCGAACCUUUGAAGUUGUUUGUUUCAGCUCCUUGAAUAUGUUUCUGUCAUGUGUCAUGUGGUUGGUGCAACCACUAUCAAUGAGCCAGCUUUCACUUGAGUCAUUUCUGGAAAUGCAAGUGGCCACAAACAAUUGAUCUUCUUCUUCUUGAUCAGCAAUUUGAGCUUCUUCACCAUGCUGUUGAAUUUUGUUUUUGCAGAUGACAGCCUCGUGCCCCAUUUGAUUGCAUUUGUUGCACUUAGCUUCUGGUCUUCUCCAACACUUAAAAUGUGGAUGUGAUCUCCUUUUACAAUGCUGGCAUGGAGGAAAAGGUCCUUUUUUGUUUCCAGUGUUGCUCCUUGUUGAAAUUCCUGGAAUCACCUGAUGAUGCUUGACUGCUUCCAUUCUUCUUGUAAUUCUUUCCUUUUUCUCUAUGCUUGACGAAUAGAGCUCCUUCAAUCUCAUCUUCCUGUCUCAUGAUCCUCCUUUGCUCCUGAGCUUGUAAUGCAUUUAGCAUUUCUGUCAAAGUAAUUUUUGACAUAUCCUUGGUAUUUUCCAAGGAUGUAAUUGUAGCUUCAAAGAUUUCAGGAAUUGUUACAAGAAUUUUUUGAACAAUUCUUGACUCAGGCAGGGACGAGCCAAGUAAACUGAUUCGGCUUGCAAUAUUAAGCAGCCUGUCAGAGUACUCUUUGAUGGAUUCAGUCUUCUUCAUCUUCUGCAACUCGAAAUCACGCAUCAAGUUCAACACUUGCAUACCUUGAAUUCUUUCAUCCCCUUCAUACUCAGUCUUGAGAAACUCCCAUAUCUCCUUUGCUGUUUUCAGAGACAUGAUUCGAGUGAAAAUGGUGGAUGCUACUACAGCAAACAAGCACGCCUUUGCCUUUGAUUUUUUUGUCUUCUUCUCCUUCUGUGAUUUGAUCUGCACCAUGGUGGGAUUGUUUGGAAGUGCAGGGAUUUCAUAAUCUUCUUCCACUGCCUCCCACAAAUCCAAAGCCUCUAAGUAUGUCUCUAUCCGUACUGCCCAAAACUGGUAAUUGUCACCAUUGAACACUGGUGGAGCAAUUGAUGAGAAGCUUACUUCUGUCUCCAUGGGUUACAACACAGAUCCCUUUAAAUCAAGAUGCUCUGAUACCAAUUGUCGUUGUUGCAGUGAUUCUGAACAACAAAAAUAACAAAGGAUAAUGCUUGUGUUUAAGAAGAGAUUGAUGAAUGAAAAGCUUAAAUACUUUAUUCAUAACUGCAGCUCAAUUUAUAGAGCUGAUACAUAACAAACUCCUACGAUCAUGGUCCUACAUUCAAGCCAUGAUCAAUUGAUAAUGGAAAUAACAGAGCUGCGAAAUAGCAGCAAGAACAAGAGAAUAGGAACAGAAUUGACUAAAUCAAAAAUUAAAGAAAGAAUAAAAUUCCAGCUCAGCAGUCCUGAACAGUAUUUCUAAUUUCUGCUGGAUAUCCAAUAAAAAAUACCUCAUAGUGUGAACAUCUUUAAGAAGGAGGAUAUCACAUUGCACCCCAUCAACUGAUCCACAAAUAAAUUUGCAUCUUUCCAUCAGUUCCAAGCUACUUUGUAAGGAAAAGGGAGGGAAGUGCCUUCAAAGAUACCUUCUUCAUAGCUUCUUUAGAUAUGAAUCCACACGGCUUUCGUAAUCACCAAUCACUAUGCACAGCUUCUCUUAUCAUCACAAGCUCCAUCUCUUUCCACGUCCUAACUUCAUUCGAUGAACUCUUCCCUCAGUUCCCAAGAAAAAUUAUAUUCUUCCCUCCUGCAGCCCUUUCCCUGUAUAUUUCCACCAGCUUCAUAGCUAUAUGGCCUGUGAAAACGACUCCCAAAUUAAAACACUUGAGAAGCUCUAAUAGUUUUCUUAUUAUUUCUUCACUCUUUGUCAGUGUGCCACAUUCAAAUACUACUGAUCGAUUCUUCCUCGUCACAACCACUCACUUUCCCCUAAAUCCCAUACCAACUAAAUCAAUAUCUCUUAUCACUUAUCAAAACUCCAUCUAAUUUCCAAAUGAAUCACACCAUUUGAACACUUUGCCAAUUCCUAAUUCCUUCAAAAUUUUCAUCCAUCAAAAAAAAAACUGCAAGUCAUACUUUUUCACUCUAACACAGUUCUCCUUAUAAUCAAUCUUCCAAUUUAACCAUACUCUUGCCUCUAAAUCUGGCACGCAAAGCUUCUACAUAACCUUCCAACGUUACUUCUUGCCUCCCAACAAGGGUGGAGGCAUGCAUGGGCUAGGGUGGGCUCUAGCUCAGGUGAAGAUUUUAUUAAUAUUUUUGUUCUAGUUUUAUGUAAAGAAAAUUUGUAAUUCUCAAUUUACGUGGAGCCUUCUAAUAUGAUGCUUUAACUUGAGUUAAAAUUUUAUAAUUUUUGAAGAAAUUCAGAAAUUUGAUAAAAAACAAAAUCAUAAUUUGACCAAUUUUAUGUUAUUGGGUGUAAUUUUCAAUCUGACCAUCAGAUUGAGCUAAAAUUUUACAAGGAAUCUUAAAAUAUAUUAAAUAAAAUCUGGUUUAAAUUUUAAAAUGAACAGAGUUUGGUAGUGCUAACAAAAAAAACAUCAAAUAAAAGCAAAAUGACUCAUUAAGGGUAAAAUUGUUAUUUGCCAUAAAAAAAAAUCAGUUCUUCCUUCCUUUAUAUGUUGCUGACUGGGCAGAAACAAAAUAGAAAAUGAAAGAAAAGAAAAGGCGAGAGAAAAAGAGAGAAAAGUAAGGGAAAAACAUAAAAAAAAUCCUAGAAAAAAAGAUAAGAAAAGUGAGAAAAUAACCUUAUAAACUUAUAAAGUCCAACUUAUAAAAUAUUAAUCUAAGGAAGAAGCAAGUGAAGGAAGGAGGAAUUGAGAGAGGGAAAAAAUUUAAUUAUUUUAUUUUUCAGUUGACAUGAGAUUGUUAUUUUAUCCCGGUUAAGGGAUUGUUAUAAUAUCAAUUCAAAUUCGAUUAUAGAUGAAUUAUAUUUCACAAAACAUCGAAAGAUGUAACUUUAAUAGUGAGUUUAUUUUUACUUUCACUUUAAUUUUAUAUAUUUUUAAAUUUAUUUUUUAAUAUUUUAGGUAAUGUAUUUGAAUUAAAACUUUACUAUUAACUUUAAAAACUCAUGUACAUUAAUUAAUAAUUUAUCUUAAAAAAAAUAUUAUAUAUUUAUUUAAUAGUGCAGGACAGAAAAAAAAUCUAGCAAAAUUUAUUCUUUCCAACUUUAUUUGUUUUGACUGAAAAAUAAUCUUUUAUUUUUGUACUUCACAGGCAUGUGGUGGCAAAAGUCGAGCACGAUAUAUAUAUAUAUAUAUAUAUAUUUCUUAAGAUACAUAUGGCUGGUGAUUGGCGGAUGAUGGUGUCAUUAAGACUCUUGGUGUGUACCCUCAUCCUUUCUGUUUAUAGUUUAGUCCAUUUGCAGCUUUAAUGGCUACUAUCAGUUGCUUUGGAACCUGAUAUCACUAGUCUCAUUAUGGUACAGACAAGCUCAGGAUGAUCAAUCCUUGAGAAUCCACAUCCAACCAGAAAUAAACCGAAUUUCGAGCAUAAAUGACUCGAACUCGCUGGAAUGCUUUGGCACCUCCUUCAAUCCUAGUUUGGGAAACAGAAACACUAUCACCGUUAGUUUUCACCGAGGAAGACAGCACCCCCAUUCUCUCCUGCUGUGCUGAUGAUGGGGCAUGAGAGAUAGUCCAAAGGAUUUGCCUCACGUUGAAGUAUGCAACUGUCUAUGGUUAGCCUUCUCUUUUGUGAUGCAAGCAGCAACCAAGCUCUGCCUUCACUGCAUAAAGAAAUGAUUGAUUCACGAAGCCUGACUUCUUUGAAUUUGAAAGAUUAGAAUCAUUGGAAGAGAAAGAAGAAAAGGUGUAAAUGACAGCGGAAUGCUAUUAUACCAUCUGCCAAGGUAAUGCCAAGUCUACUUGCGAGGUAUUUAUAUCAUAAUUUUUAAAUAUUAGAUUGUCAGCGCAUACCAAGCAAAGAGCUUCGAUUCACAACGAAAUGAAUCCGUGCUAUGGGUUAUCAUCUGAUAUCAUCAUUCAUCAACAAUUAAUCGAAUGGGUUUAUACAUGAAAUGUUUUUAGUUUCUUAAUCAAUAAUUGAAGUUUUUAAUUGGAAGUCAAAUUAUUCUUAGAGAAUAAUAUAAUUAAACUAAACCUUGGUUAAUUGAUUGCUAGCAAAGGUGUACAUUUACAUGGCUUGAAAAUGAAGCUUAUCUUCCAUUUAAUUUUAUCAAAUAAAUUAUUUAUAGAGUAGUUUUGAGUGAUAUAAAUCAAAUAGGAAUUAAAUCAUGUUAAAACAUUUAAUUUUGUUGUCCCUUUAUAUUACAAACAGCAACAUUACGUAUCAUGUUUAUAAAUUCCAAACCACUCAUUUGAAACUAACGCUUUGUAUUUUUUUUAUAAAAUAAAAUAAAUCCUAACACUGAUGUGGACUAAAAUGUUUUUCAUAUAAAAUAUGAGGAUCAAAAAACUUUCAUGAACAUUUAAAAUAUGAUGUGGACUAACAUUUUUUUUUUGUUAAAAUUAGUUCGGUUUGUACUUUCUAGAUCGUUUUGAUGUGCUGAUAUCAAAAAUAAUUUUUAAAAAAUAAAAAAAACAUUAUUGGCAUACUUUUCGGCACGAAAAGCUAUUUGAAAAACAACAACUACCACACUUCCAAACACCCUCACUUAGUAUAAAAAAGAAAUCAUCACGUCGUUAUUUUCCACUCAGUAUAAAAAAGAAAUCACACGCCUUAGAGGAUAAAUAAGCAAUGCGAAAGUUAAAUAAAUUUAUGAAUUACCAGCAUAAUUCACACUAAUUCCCCUCUCUAACUUGCACCUCAUCAAUUUUUAUUCCUUUACUCUCGAACGAAAAUAAUAAUAUUUAAGUUAUUAAACCCAACUCGAAUUAUAAUUCAAGUAGGGGGUUAACAUAAAUCAAUACAAAGUGAUAUGACUUUAGGAGUUUUUUCAAAAAAACAAAUUAAAAUGAUGUGAACUUUUUUAAAUUAAAUUGAGUUUUAAUUGAUCAAAUAAGUUGGAUUACACCAGGUCAAAUUCUAUCCGAUUUAAUUUAAAAUUCAAUCUAAACUCUUAACUUACCUUCAGUCGGGUUUAAUAACAUAUUGACGUAACUUUAGACAAGUUAAGACAUGUUAUUUGUAUAAUCAGACCAAAUUCUCAAUCUUUAUUUAUCAUAAUAACGAUCCAACCCAUUAAUUUUAAAUGGGCCUAUAAAAACUCUAACUUGCCAUAAAAUCAGCAAUUUUACAUCCUAUUUUAUAAAAGACACUCCAACAUAAUUAAUUAAAAUAGUAUUUGAUAUUGUGGUAAUAAUUAUUUUUUAAAGUAUUUUUUAUUUAAAAAUAUAUUUAAAUAAUUUUUAAUUUUUUAAUUUUAAAAAUUAAUAUUUGACAUUACAUAUUAAAACAAUCUAAAAACAUAAUUUUUAAAAAAAGUUAUUAUUAUUUAAGAAAAACUGUAUCACCAUACAAACAAAUCCAAAAACACAAUUUUUUUAAAACAAUUAUUAUUCUUUUAAAAAAAAUUGUAUCACCAUAAAAACAAAUAAUUUCUAAGAGUGACAGUGAGCAACAGAAAUAAACCAUGGCAGAAACUAAAAAUACCUUUAACGGAAACUGUGCUUCGAUUCACAACGUUUUCAUCCUUGACCAAUGCUUGACAGAGUAGACGACGGGUCAGAACAGAGCUACCAGUCCUGCAUUUCUCGAAGGAUAGUUUUGGAAAUGCUCUAAGACCGUGGCCAUUAUGCUGUGUAUGUUUGAUAAUGCAGUGAAUAUAAUUUUAUAAAAAUAUUUUUCAAUUAAUAAAAUAUUUCUUAAAGAAAUUUUCAAUAAUUUUGUUAAGAAAUUUGCGUGGCCAGACAUUUUAAAGAAUGAUGCUAAAUUUGGGGUUACAUAGGCAGCUGCUGGCUCCUCUUGUAUCUUUUGGGUUAAAGGCAUCGUUUGUUUCCUGCCGUUGUCUAUUCUCCGGUCGUAGAAGCUGACUGCAAUCCUCCGACUCUGUUCUCAUAGUCAGAUGCUUCCUCUGUUUUCUCCUGGCAUUAAAAUUACAGCUCACCCUCAAAUCUUAUUGCCUCUGGUCAUUUUCUUGAAUGGUGCUUGGUGUUGUCUUCUAGCGUUUGCAGUAUCGUAAUUUGCUGGAGUUUUUGUAGUAUUUGAAUUGUGGGUGAUUGAGCUGCAGAAUUUGUGCAAUUGAAUUGAAUUUGUGCUAUGGGUUAUCACGCGAUAUCAUCAUUCAUCAACAAUUAAUUGAAUGGGUUUCUACAUUAAAUAUUUUUAGUUUCUUAAUCAAUAAUUGAAGUUUUUAAUUGGAAGUGAAAUUAUUCUUAGAGAAUAAUAUAAUUAAACUAAAUCUUGGUUAAUUGAUUGCUAGCAAAGGUGUAAAUUUACAUGGCUUGAAAAUGAAGCUUCUCUUCCACUUAAUUUUAUCAAAUAAUAUAAUUUUGAAAUAAAUUAUUUAUAGUAGUUUUGAGUGAUAUAAAUCAAAUAGGAAUUAAAACAUGUUAAAACAUUUAAUUUUGUUAUACCUAGGUCCCUUUAUAUUACUAACAACAAUAUUAUGUAUCGUGUUUAUAAAUUCCAAACCACUCAUUUGAAACUAAAGCUGUGUAUGCUUUUUAUAAAAUAAAAUAAAUCCUAACCUUCAUAUGAGGAUUAAAAAACAUUCAUGAAAAUAUAUGAAAAGCUAUUUUUGUCUCUAUGGGCUAGGUACGAUGUAUUCAGGUAUGGAUAUGGGUCUGGGCUUAGGAUGAUAGAUAUGGGUCCAGUAGGAGCACGAUAUUUUUUAAUGGUAAGGAAUGAGCUAUGCCUACCAGGCUGGUUACUCGGUCCAUUCACCUCUCUACCUGAGGCUUGUAUAGUUUAUUGAAAAAAACAAACUUAUAUCGUUUCUUUUAGAAUUCAUUUCUUUAUAAAGCAUGACAAUGUAACCAAAUUUGCAUUAUCUAUAUAAAAUAAAAGAAAAUAUAUAUUUUCACAAAUUCUACCAUAUUGCUCGACCAAAAUAUUUAUUUUUUGUUUCUAUACAUAUUAUAAUUAGUUACAAAUAUAACACCCAAUUUAAUAAAAUCAUAUGAGCAAAAUUCCAGGACUUUCCAUGGACAAAACCCAAUUUAAUAUAUAUAUAUAUAUAUAUAUAUAUAUAUAUAUUUCUCUACAUAUUCAAUAUAUUCAUCUAAAUGUAUUUAUCUGAAUGCUAUAUUAUCUUAUAAUUUAACUGGGACCAAAGAUAAAUGAUAACAUUUAUUUAAAUGCUAUUUAUGAUUGACACACAAAACCCUGUUUUCAUAGUUAAUUGAAGGAUAAUAAAUGGAAGAAUGACAAAUUGCCAGGUGGAAAGUUAUACCUCAUCACAACAAAUACUUUCCAGCCAAUUAAUUAAUGGCGGUUACAACUAAUUACAACAAAUACUCUUCACUUCUUCUCUAUAGUUAUGUUAAUGGUAAGAAAAGGUUGGAUAUUAGAAUUUUGAAAAAUAAAAUAAAAGAUAAGUGAUGUUCAGAUUAGAACUUGAUAUUUGAUAUAAAAUAUAUAUUUUUUAAUUAAACUUUAAUAACAAGUCAUAAAUCAACUCAAAAAUAGUAAAUAUUGUAAAAAAAAAAUGGUAAUAUUAUACACAAAAAAAGAGACUCAUGAAAUGACAUAAAAAAUAGAAUUUUUGUAUAUUUUUAUCUAUUCAUGAACUUGAACAUGAUUUAUAUUUAUAUAAUCAUACAUUUUAAUUGGAAAAUAAUCAAUAAAGGAAGAAAGAAUCGACUUUAAACAAAUAAAAAGAAAAUAGAAGAUGAAAUAUAAAUCACGUAAGAAUUAAGUCUUCUCGAAGACUAGCUUAAGAGUAAGAAAGAGGCAAAAUCUAUAGGAAUUUAAUUAAUAAAUGUUUCAUGCGUGUUGUUUCGAAUUGUAUAAAUAUAAAGAAAAUACAUUUAUACAUAUUAUAUUAUAAUGAAUAUAUUUUUCUGUGCAAAAUUGUUAUUAUUUUUUCAAAUCAAACCCCCGGUUUGAGUAUUGAGCAUAAAAAGAAUUUGGAUUGUUGAAUCAUUUAAACAAUUAGUGGAUCGCCAAUGAAUCAUUUUAUUAAAAUGAUAUUUUGCUUUUUUAUAAAAAAAUUUAUUAAUAUUGAUUUAACUAAGUUUGUAUCAGAUUUUACCAAAUCAAAUAAAUCAUUACAAAUUCAAUUGAGUAAUUAAGAUUUUAUCUUAUCAAUGUUUUUUUCUAAUUCAAUUUUAAACCUGGUUAAUGCCAGGAUCUGGAGGAUGUGCUUCCUAUAUCAAAUCACCAUGCAGGGAAGAGUUUAAACAUUUUUCAUUUUUCCUAUAUCAAAAAAUUACAUUUCUUAGCAAAACACACGAGUUAUAUAUAUAUAUUUAAACAAAUUACAAAUAAUCUAAUCAAUUGAUUAAAGUUGUGACACCUUAUAGUACGUAGACGACUAUAUAAUACUAUAAGAUAUUUAACAAUAUUUAUUUUUAUGAAGAGUAAUAUGUUGCUUGUCUAUGUAAUUUCUCUUUUAAAUUGGGUUUAAUUUCAAAAUCAACGUGUAACUUUGUACGUAGGGGCAUGUCAUGGGCAGUGUUGGACCAAAUUCUCAAUCUUUAUUCAUAGAGGUGGAUCAUGAUCGAGAUUCGAGCCUAUUAAUUUUAAAUGGAUCUACAAAACCUCUAUUCGGCCAUAAAAAAUAAAAUCUCAGGUGCCCAUCAAUGAUAGGAUCUAUUUUGUAAAAGACAUUUCAACAGUAUUAAAAUAAUGUUUAGUAACGUGAUAUCUGAUAUUUUUAAAAAUAUUUUUUUAUUUAAAUUAUAUAUUUUUAAAAUUUAUAUUUAAUAUUAUUAUAUUAAAAUAAUAUAAAAAUAUAAAAAUAUAUUUUUAAAAAAAAUCUUGGUGUCAAAGUGAGUGAAUAAAAAAAAUAAAUCAUGGCAGAAACCACGAACACCUUUAACAGCAAUGUCGUUUCAGUUUGACAGAGUUGUGUUAAAAAAAAAAUUCCUUCAAUUUGUAUUGACUUUUUAAUGUUUUAAGUUUACAGUGCUCCUAUAUAUAAACAGAGAAGAUGUUCUUAAAAACUAUGGAUUCCUGCUAUAAACAGGACUUAUACAAAUGUGGAAUAAAUCAAUUACUAAACUAUGGAAUAGGACUUAUACAACUGUGGGAUAAAUCAAUUACCAAACUUUUUCUUACAAACUCUCAACUAAAUCACUUUGUAAUUAUACUAACACUUUGAGUCAAGUUAGUGCAAAGAUAUCUUACCCAACUUGUCAAGGGAGCUCUGAAAGUUUUUGCUGAAGACAACUUUUGUAAAGAUAUUCGUGAGCUGAUUCUUUGAUUUGACAAAUGAAAAGUUAAUCACUUAUUAUUUAAGAUUUUGUUUAAUAAAAUGUUUGUCUAUUUCAAUAUGUUUCGUGUGAUCAUGUUAAAUUGGGUUAUAAAAUAUUUUAAUGGCAGCUUAAUUAUCACAGUAUAGGUUCGUUCUUGAUUUGGGAGCAAAACCAAUUUCUGAUAAUAAUCUUCUGAGCUAAAGCAGUUUACGUAGUCCUUUUACCGUCCCUUGAAACUCAACCUCUGUGCUUGACAAGGUAGCUACUUUUUAUUUCUUGCUUCUCCAUGUGACUAAAUUGCCACCAAUAAACGUGAAGUAUGCUCAUUAAUCUCAUGCAUAUUUUGAUUAUUUUGUUGAAUAUUUUAAUCAGGUUUAUGAUAUGGAUUCUUAUAAUAAAAUUUUCAUUUAAUUUUUUUAUUUUCAUGGGGGGUUUUAAUGUAGGGAACAUAGGAAGUGUAAAGGUGGCAACUUUUUUGCUUUAUUUUAUACCGUAUUUAAAGCCAGUGCCUUUGAGGUUUUAUGGCAGCCCAUCAACAAUAUUCUUAGUAGGAUCUUAUCAUUUAUGGUACUAGCCUGUUGGGCCUCCCUUUUCAUUAUUUUAAGCGUAGUUGCCACCCAUCUUUCUGUGGCUCCAUGUUCAUUCUCCAAACCAUUCAUAUAGGUAUCUUAAAUAGUGUAGCUGGAGCUUUACUGGGUAUGCUUUUUAAUAUAUUUUUAAGUAAAAUAUAUUUUUAAAAAUAUUUAAAAAACAAACAUUACUGUACUUUCAAAAACAUAAUCCUCUUGUAUCUGACGCUUUAAAUUCCAACAAUGAGUUACUGAUUAGAUAAUAUCUACAUUCAAUUAAAAAUAUAAUUUCUUGACAGCGAAAUAAAGAAAAAAGUAGCAACCCUGUAAUAUCUAGGUAAUUUCUAUGCUCUUUAAAUUAGGCCUCUAAACUGAGACUGUAAUGAGCCCAUGACAGAGGAAGACAUGAAAGUGUAAUUUCAGAAGACCAUUAUUCAUAUAACAAAUUUAGUAAAUUUAGUAAACUCGUAAAGUUAAACCGAUUUUACUAAUUCUGUACUAGUUAGAUUUGAUUUUAUUAAUUUUAAAUUUUUAGUUAGAUUUAGUAUGUUAAAUAUAUAUUAACUUAAAUUUUACUAAUAACUCAUAAUUUUAACAACCUUGCUUGUAAUAGCUCUUGUGGUGGUUGAUGUUUAAAAAAGAUAAUUGAGAAAUUAUUUUCACUCGUGACUUUUUUGAUUUAAAUAAGUAUUGAAUUAAAAAUAUUUAAUUAAAAUUAUUGUUUUAAUUUAAUUACCACAAAAGAUACUGGUGAAGGUGGAGAGGAUGCAAAAGAUGAUUGGGUAUCCUAUUAAUCGUCAAAACAUCAACUAUUGUGGUCAAUUCUGCUGACUGCUGAGACUAAAAGCCAACCACUUGAAUAAUGGGCAUUAGCUGUUUAGCACUCCUUGGUAAACACUUCAGGCUCCUUUCCCGCCCCUUUCCUCGCUGGUUCCUUAAUAGCUUCAAGGGGUGCGAGCGCCUCGUUCGAGGAUUGAGCAUAAAGGACUAAAAGAGUUCAAUAAAUACUAAAAGACAUAAAGUGAAGUUUUUAUAAUAUUCAUAGCAAUGGUCAUCAGCUAAUUUAUAAUUUAUUUAUCUACUUUAUCAAUGAAAUAAAAGUGAUAAAAGAAAAGGAGAGAAGAAAUAAAGUGAAGUCUUCUUCUGCAUUAUUAGCACAUCACGUGAAAAUAAAGAAUGGCAUAUAAUAAAAGUUAUUCCAAUCAAACCUCCUUUUUCAACCGAUGGGGUCUCUUGUCAAAUAAAGCAAGGACAGACCGAGUAAGAUGUGGGACCUAACUGCACUUUCCUGGCACGCGUAGUUCACGCAUACACAAGCACAUUCAGAAUAGUAUUCAAUUUAAAAACACAAAAAAAAAAUAAAGGAAUAAAAGAAGGAAAAGUGAUCAAAGAAGAAGAGAGAAGAAAUAAAGUGAAGUCUUCUUCUGCAUUAUUAGCACAUCACGUGAAAAGAAAGAUACAAACAAGAUUACUCCAUUUUCCAGUCACUUUUUCAACCGAUGGGGCUUCUUGGCAAAUAAAGCAAGGACAGACCGAGUUGAUGCGCUACGUAACUCCUUUUUCCUGGCCCGCGCAAUUCACGCAUACACAAACACAUCCAGAAUAAUAUUCAUAAAAUUAAUUAACAUCCCGUAAAAAUAUACUUUAAUUUAGAAAAGAUUUUAAAAUGUUAUUUUUCAAAUUAAUAAUAACAAAAUUUUAUAUUAAAUUGGUUCGCUUAAGUUAACCUAUUAGAUUUAUAAUUCAGGUUAUGAAAUUAUAAUACCUAGUUCACAAAUAACCAAAUAUGGUGAAGUUUUUCCAAUCAAACCCUUUUUUUUUUUUAAGAUGUAAUUUCUAGAAAAAUAAAUCAAAGACAAACAGAGUAAAAUUUCAAAAAAUAGAGAAAGAUGGAAAAUCCCACCAAUAUUUAACCCACUUAAAUUGAGUCCAAAUCAUAAAAGCAUCUACAAAGAGUGUGUUAAAUGAAAAGUUAAAAAUUAAAAAAUAUAUAAUUUUGACUCUUUCAUGUUUAUUUUACACACUUCAAAAAAAUAUUAAAUAAAAUAUUAAAAUAUUUUUUUUUCUUAUAAAUACUAUUUCUAAAUAUCUAUCAAAAAAACCAAUACUAAAAAAAUAGAGUCAUCAAAAAAUAAACCAAUUAAAUAUAAUUAUAUGAAAAAAUAUAUUUUAAAUAGUGCAGCCUGAGCUUAAUGGUUAAAAUAAUUUUAUAUUUUUUAUAAUUGUUAACAUCAACACAUUAAAAUCAUUAAAAAUAUUAAAAAAUCAAUAAUUUAAUAUAUUUUUAAAUAAAAUAUAUUUUUUAAAAAAACAUAUAAAUUACUACUAUUAUUUCAAACACACAAUCCUAUUCCAUCUUAAAAUCUGAGCUAUUAGGAUAGUAAAGUUAAUUCGUUAAAUUUACAAUUGUGGUGGUGGGAUAUUAAAAAAAAUCUUAUAUUAAAAUUAAAAAUUUUAAAAAUUCUUGAAUAAAAAAACAACAAAACAAUUAUUCAGGUAAUUGUAUAAAAUAUAAUAAUAUAAUGUAUAAUUUAUAAUUGAUUUAUUUACCUUAUCAGUCUUCUGCUGCAUGAUCACAUCACGUGAAAAGCUUGGCAUUUAGUGAUGUUUUUCCAAUCAAACCUCCUUUUUUCAAAGAUGGAAUCUCGAGGUAAAUAAAUCAAAGACAAAACCGAGUAAAAUGGAGUCCAGAGCAUAAAAGAAUCUCCAAUGAAGCUGCUAAAUGAAUAACUAAAAAUAAUAAUAAAAAAAAAAUUGUUUUUGUUUGUUUUUUAUAUUUCAAGAAGAAAAUCAAAUAAAUCGUUAAAAUAUUUUUUUUUCACAUAAAUAUUAUUUUUAUAUAUCUCUCAAAAAAAUCAAAAUUAAUAAAAUAAAACCAACAAAAAAAAGCCAAUUAAAUCUAGGUAUCUAGAAAAAAAUAACUUUAAAAUCAUUAAAAAAAAAAAAUGUUUAUUUAUUUCACUUUAUCUCGAAAAACAGUAACUUUAAAAUCAUUAAAAAAAAUAAAAUGUUUAUUUAUUUCACUUUAAUAGAAUUGGCUUUUCAAUGUAUUUUUUCUAUUGGAAUAUAUAUUGUAAAAAAAAUAUAUUUAUAUUAUUUAAAAUACUAUUUUAUUAGUUUAUUUUUUUAAAAUAAUAUUUUUUAUUAAAGAUACUCCAACAAGGGCCGAGAGAGCAAAGGCUUUUACGAGUUCUGUGUUCCGUAUACUUCUCAAGGGGAAAAAAAUAAUGUUUUGUUAGAGAUUUGUUUUUGAUAGAAUUGUUAGCGAUCUUAGCCGAUGCAUCUGGAUUAUAAUUUUUAGCAUUUAUACUAUUUUAUAGCGCUAAUAUCUUAAAAAAACUUAUUUUCUAGCUUUUUUUUCAUGGUAUAAUAAAAUAUUAAAAAAUAUUUUUCAACUCAUUAUCCUUAAUACAAUUAAAUUUCAUAGAAUAGUCUAUUUUUUAGAAAUAUAGUUUACUAUGAGAUUUAUUGGAUAAAAGAAAUUCACUUUGUAACAAUGCACUAGAAACUAAAAAAAAAUAAGCUAAUGAUCAUUUAAAAAUAUAGUAUAUUGGAAUCAUCUUGCUGAAUAGGUGAGUUUGGGAGUUUGGUUGCUUAACAGGCGAGUGAGGGUUAAAUGUAUCCAAUUAAAUAAUAUCUACAUUCAAUUAAAACUUAUGGUACAAUUACUUGACAGCAAAAUAAAGAAAAGCAGGAACCCUGUAAUAUCUAGGAAAUUUCUAUGCUCUUUGAAUUAGGUGCCCAAACUAAGGCUAUAAUGAGCCCUGAAUUUACACAGAAGAAAUUUCAUGGGAAAUGGGUUGAUGUCAGAGGCAGACACGGAAACGUAAUUUCAGAAGACUAUGACUCAAAUCAGUGGCUGAAAUCCAAUCACUCAAGGGAUGGUGACACGUUGUCUUGAGUGGGAGACAACUGGUCUUCAGUACAAAGAGAAACAACGUUUUUUUUUUAUUAUUAUUAUUAUUAUUAAAAGCGAGUGUACGAGUUACUUCCAUGUUUUUUAAUUAAUUUUAAAAUUAAUAAUUAUAUAAAUUUUUAAUAAUUAUAAAAAAGUUUAAAUUCAUGAAAAGAUUUGAAUUCAUAAUUAUUAAAAUACAAAUAUAUUUUCCUGAGUGUCUUUGCUCUCGUGACAGCUCACGAUGGUGGGGGGUUUAAAAAAAAAUUUAAAAAAUAUUUUUACUUGUGAUUUAUUUAAUUUAAAUAAGUAUUUAAUUAUAAUUAUAAUUAACGAUAUAUUGUAACUAAAAUUACUAUAAAAAAGAACAUAGUGAAGGUGGAGAGGAUGAGAAUAAUGAUUGGAUAUCUUAAUAAUUGUAAAAAGAAAGUAUUUUUUUAUGGUGAAGUUAUUUGUAUAUGAGAAAAGACUGAGUUUUGUAGCUCAGAAAAAAUAAACAUGUUGAUAUUGCUUUUUAAUAACCCAUGAAUGGACCGUAAAUUGCAACGGGUUCACAAACACAAACAUGUGCUUCACAUGUAACCAAACUUAUUGUUAUCUGCAUUAAAAGCAAAAGAUGCUAAAAACACACACAUUUGAUCGUUGAAGAUGUUUUUAAAUUGUUUUCUUAAUUAUUUUUCAUUUAAAAAAAUAUGAAUCAAAGAAGUUUAAUAAUUAUAAUUAUUAAAUAUUUUGAAAUAAAAUGAUCCAUCUAUAUUAAAAAAAAACAUCAUUCCCACGUGUGGAAGAUAAAAUUAAUCAACCUAAUCUUAUUGGAUUGCAUUUUAUUAAAUCAAACCAUCAGUAUCUUUAAUGCAGGAUAUUUUUGUUUUUCCAAUUCAAGUAUACUUUUUAAUAUAAUAAAUUUUUUUAACCUAUUUUUUUAUUAUUAUUUUAGUAUCAUUUUGUUAUUUCUAAUAGUUUGUGGUUACCAGUUUAGUCCUGAAUUCAUUAUUAGAACCAUCAAUUUUAAAAAUCAAUGUAAGUUGAUUUUUAUUAUUUUUUAUUUUUUAAAAUUAAUUUAUUAAAAAAAAAUUCCAUGAUUUCUUUUUAAGAGACUAACCCUUCAUCGACAAACACUAAUGUACCCUGAAAAACAUAAUCUUAUUACAUCUGACGCUUUAAAUUCCAACAAGGAGCACCUACACAUCGAAAUAAAGAAAAGUACUGAGUGCCUUGGCGGUGGGAGGAGCUCUGCUCCUGAGUUCGAGUGUUUACAUGUAUAUCUAUCAUUCUCGUGGUGUUUUAUAUAUCUAUUGGGUUUAUAAAGUAUUCAGUGGGAUUAGUUGUGGUGCGCGCAAACUGACCCGAACAUCCAAAUAAAUAAAUAAAUAAAGUAGAAACCCUGCAUGUGGGAAAUUUUUGUUAGGCCUCCAAUCUGAGGCUGUAACGAGCCCUGGAUCUACACACAAGAAAUUUCAUGGGAAAUGGGUUGAUGUCAUAGGGAGACAAGGAAGCGUACUUUCAAAAGACCAUGAGACAAAUCAACGGCUGAAAUCCAAUCACUCAAGGGAUGGUGACAUGUUACCAUGAGUGGGAGACUGCUAGUCUCCAUCUAAAUGUUUAAAGAUGACUGGGUAUCUUAGUAAUUGUAUAACAAUUGAUUUUUUUUGCUGAAGUUGUCGGUGUGGAUGAGAAAAUACUGAGUUUGUAGCUUAGUAAAAACAUGUUGAUGUUGAUGUUACUUUUUAUUAGCUCAUGGUUGGCCCGUAAAUUAUAAUGGGUCCCACAAUCACAAACCUAUGAUUCACAUGUAAUUUAUGUUUUACAACUUAUUUUUAAAAUUAUUUUUUAUAUAUAUUUUUAUACCAUUUUUAUUUUAAAAAUUUUAAGUUUAAAAAAUAUUAUUUUAAUAUAUUUUUAAAUAAAAAAUACUUAAAAAAAAAAUUAAUAUCAGACACAGUGAAUGUUUUAUAAAAUUUUACAAUCGCUUUUACAUUUUGUUUAGAUCACAUUUGAAAAUGCGGUACACUACAAUAAAGUCCGUUAUAUGAUUAAGGGUAUGUUUGGUAUUGCGGUUGCUGUUGUGAUUGUAAUUAUGGUUUUAAAAAAAAUUGUUUUAUAAAAAGUAAUUUUAGUUGAGGUUGGUUUGAAAAAAUAUAUGUUUGGUUAAAACUGUAGUUGAAAUUGAGGUUGAACAAAAAAUAGUUUAAUGUGUUUGGUUAAAAAAAUGUUUUUCAAAUUGAUGUUAUAAAAUCAUUAAUAUAUAUAUAUACUAAUAUUAAUUAUUUUUAAUUUAAAUAUUGUAGAUUUAACUACUGUUAUUACAUCAUGAAAUAAAUAAUAUUAAUAUCAAAUAUUUUUUAUUAUUAGAUUAAAAUAUAUGUAAUCUCAUUACAUAUGAAAUCUAUCAAACAAGGACUAUAUUUUUCAUGGUUUCUUAAGCGUGCAACAACAAAAACUGAUUUUUUAAAUUUAUAUAGUGUUAUUAAAUAAUAAAGAUUGUGAUAUAUUUAUUAUUGAAAUUGCGAUCAAAUUUCAUAAAUGCUACGUCAUCAUGCGAUAUCUUUCUAAUUUAUAUAGUGUUAUUAAAUAAUAUUAAAUACUAGUUUUUCGAGUAAAACAAUUUAAAAAAAUAUAUAUAAUUUCACUACGUACAAAAGUUAUUCGACAAAAACUACAGUUUUCAUGAUUUUUUGAGCAUGUAAUAAAAUUAGGUAAAAUAUUAUCACGAAUAAAAUUGAGAUUACAGUACGAGUAAAUUUAAUUCACCUUAAACUAAUUUUUUUAAAAAAAAUAUCGUUUACUAUUAACUGCACUGGUUUUUUAGGGGGGAAAAUAAACUUUGCUCACCGGUUUUUUUUUUUAAAAAAAUAAAUAAAUAAACUUUUCUUACAGAUUUUUUCUUUUUUUAAAAAAAGAAGACAUGGUGACAAUGGAGCCAUGCUCCACUGUUAAGUGGUUGUUACCCACGAGAAGCAGUAAAAAUAACGUGGACCCUAUCAAGCAAAAUCAAUCUUGCUUGAUUACCAAACAUUAAAAUAUGUGGCUGCGAGUAAACUCGCCACACUACCAAACAACAUCUAAAGUCUUUAAUUGUCUUGCAUUUAUCUUUAAAACUGCUAUAAGAAUUAAUUAAUUGUGUCAAUUCAAUUCUUUCGAUUGACAUUGAUGCCAAACAUGUUAAUUCAUGAUAUAAUUAAGCAAUUCAAUACAAAUUUACUAAUAUAAUUUAUUUCGGCUUAAACCUUUGAAUAAAGCAAAAUGCAGAGGUUGUGAAAGUGAAAUACCUUAAUAAUUUUUAUGCUUUACAACUCUAGGAGCCACACAAAAUAUAAUGCGUUUGUUACUAUUUAUUUGUUAAAAAGUAUUUUUUUUAUUAAAAAAUGAUUUUUUAAAAAAUAAAUUGAAAAAUAUUUUUUAAUAUUUGAUUAUUUUAUAUAAAACAAGCCAAAAAAUAUUUUUUUAAUUUUCUUCUCAAAUUUAUUAAAAGAAUAAGAAACAAAUAUUUCAAAUAAAAAUAUUGAAGGAAGAUGAAAUUAAAAAAUAUAUAUAUUUUUAUAAAUUAUUUUAAAUAAAAUAAAUAAUAAUUAGAAGAAUAAGAAACAAAUGAAAAAUUAAAAAAUUAAAAAAAAAUAAAACAGAAAUAAAUAAUAAUCAAAAUAAAAAAUUAAUACAAAAAUAAUAUUAAACCAAUAAUUUAAUUUAAAAAAAAACAAAAUAUAAUUUAUAAUUUAUAAUUUAUUUAUUUGCUUUAUCAAUGAAAAGUGAUGGUAGGAGGGAGAGAGAGAGGAAAUAAAGUGAAGUCUUCUGCUGCCUGAUCACAUCACGUGAAGAGCUUGGCAUUUAGUGAAGUUUUUCCGAUCAAACCCACUUUUUUCAAAGAUGGAAUUUAUUGGAAAAUAAAUGAAAGACAAACCGAGUAAAAUGGAGUCCAGAGCAUACAAGAGCCGAGAUUGAAACAGGAAAUGCAAGAAAAAGAAGAUGGGCCCUUGUUUUCUCUUUUUACGGCCGGCGACCGGAUAUAAAAAGGGAGGAGAUGAAGCUUUCAAAUUAUUUUCAAUUUUGCGGUCACUUAUUGUGUCCAUGUCAUUUUGUGUAAUUGCCCAGCUACCGGUACUAUUUUAACACUGUUAAAAGUCUAAAUCAUCAAUAUUUCCCCAAUUUAUCUCUAAAAAAAAUUCACUUCAAUUAAUAGCAUUUUUUUAUUAUUUCUUAUGUCAAUGUUUACCUCUUUUUGAUAAACUCGUAUAUUUUUGUACCAGAGGUCUAAAAUUAUUCUGUCCACUUAUUACUUAUUUAAAUUUAUUAGAAUGUUUUAAAUAACUUUUUUAAAUUUUAAUCCCAGAGUUUACAUGCAUAAUACAUGAGUUAUAUAAAUUAUGAUUCAAAAUAUUGUUAUAACUAAAUUAAAAGAAAAAUUCAGAGUUAAUUUCUUGAAUAUUAAGUUUUCUGAUUUUUCUAUAUAAUUAAUUUUUUAAGUUGAUUUGAUUAGUAUUAUUAUACUUUUCUCAUUCUCGAUAAAAGAAAAAAGAAAAAACCAGAAGAGUAUUUUCUUUCUAUUGAAAAUAUUUGUGGUUAGAAGAAAGUAAUUUUCACUGGAGUGUCGUUUUGGGAUGCAACAUGAACUUGACCUGUCUAAUUUGUACGGCAUGAGAAGAUGUUGCUUUACAUGGCUUCCUCCUUAAAAAAAUUCCAUCACAUUUGAGAAUUUUGUUAUAAAAAAGAUAUCUCUUUUAAAGAAGAAAAGUGAUACCUAAAAUUUAUAAAUGAUCUAAACUCUUAAUUUUUAAUCGAUGUAAAAUGUUAGAGUAUCAUGUUCCUGAAAAAAUCUUUCUAAGUGUAUAAUAUGUUGCAUUUGGGGCAAAAUUAAUAGUUUUGAAUGUUUUUAUUACUGAAACUUUUUUUUUUCUCAACCUCUUUUUCUCUCUCUUCUUGUCAAAUACAAAAGGUUUUUUUUUUAAUUUUUUAAAUAAUUUUAUUUUUAUUUAUUUUAUUUUUAUCUUUUGUAGAUUUGUUUUUUUAUUUAUUUUGUUUUUUAUCGUUUGAUUUUAUUUAUUUUUUUAUUAAACAUUAACUUUAUUUUUAUUUAUUAUUUUUUUAAUUAAACAUCCUUUUUAAUUUAUCUCUUAAUAUUUAAUUUUAAUAUCAAAUUUAAUUAGUCCUAUUUUAUCUUACACUUUAAAUUCCUACAAGUACCCGAUCAAACAAUAUCUGCAUUCAAUUAAAACUUAUGGUACAAUUACCUCAUAGCGAAAAAAAAAAAAAAGUAGAGACCAACUAAGAAAUUUAUGUGCUGUUCCCAGCUAUGUUGCUGACAUUGGACAAGAGAGACUUCUUCAGCCACCGAUAAAAUUAUUUUUGUUGACUUUUUGUGCAGUUUGUCACUUUGCUUCGAUCUUUCUCUCUUUGCACCACAAACACUUGGACAUGGUAGAUACCAAGCACGGUUUUGCUGUCAAUGUACGAUACCAUAUUUGACAAUAUCUUUUUUUUUCUUUUUUCUUUUUUAUGAAGAGUAGUAUGUUGGUUAUCUAUGUAUGUUUUUUAAAAAAUCACAUAUAUAUUUAUCUAAAAUUAUUGAUAUUUAAAAAAUUACAUUAUUUUUUUAAUAAUUCGUUCCGCUGUUCUUUUAGAAUUAAGCGAAUAUUAUGCAAAGCUUCAAGUUUUGUGUAAUUGUUUUUAAUACAAGAGAGUUUAACCAUUUUAAAAUGUUUAAUGAGUUAUUUAAAAUAUUGAAAGUAAUGUACAAUAACUAAUUUAUAAUUUUAUCAUUGCUCUUGCUUUAUUAUAGGUCAAGUCAAGAUUUUCUUAAAAAUAAAAAAUUAUUUAAAUUGUGAAUGUUUUAAUUUAUUCUGGUAAAACAAAUUUAAAUUGUGUGGUGAUUUAACUUGAUUGAAUUUGUAGUUUAAAAAACAAUCUAGAUAACCAGUAAAAAUAUAAUUUAACUCGUAAAAAAUUUCAAGAUUACAUAUAUUUUUUUAAUAUUAAGAUAACAACAAAUUAAUUGAUUUGGGUCAACUCAAUUUAACUUAUUAAAUUCAUAACCCGAGUUAUGAGAUUAUGAUAACCAUGUAGAAAAUAAAUUAUUAAGUCUAAUUCUCAACUACCAAAUAUUAAAAGAUAAAAUUAAAAUAAAUAAAUAAACCAUGUGGAGAUUGAUUCGAUGUGACUUAAUUGAUUUAGCUUGUUCAAAAACAACCCGGAUAAUCAGUAAAAAUAUAAUCUGACUUAGAAAAAAAUUCAAGAUGAUACUUUUUUUCCAAUACAAAGAUAAUAAAGUAAUAGAUUGAAUUGGGUUAACCAGAGUUAACUUGUUAAAUUUUUUAUCUGGGUAUAAGACUGUGAAAUCUAAUUCCUAUUCAACUAAAUAUUUAAUGGUAUAAUUGAAAAAUAAAAUCAAUUAAAAAAUGAUCUAAAAAUAUGAACAUAAUUAACAUGUCAAGUUCAUAACCUAUGUUAUAAUAAAGAUACAAUCUUAUAGAAAAAAAAAAUCAAAAUAAAUUAUGAAGUUCAAUCUUAAAUAACCAAAUUUUAAAAGAUAAAUUUUUUUAAAAAGAACGUAAAAAUGACCCGAGUAAAUCCACCAAACUCAUAACUCGUUAUGAGAUCGAGAUAAUCUUAUAUAAAAAAAAAUUACAUGAUUUAACUCGUCAAAUCUAUGACUUUGGUAACAAGACCAAGACAACCUCUUAAAGAGUAAAUAAAAAUAAAUUAAAAGUGCAAUCCCUAAUUGACCAUGUCAAACUCGAUGUGAAUGAUGCAAUUUCUAAAAAUUUAAAUUAAAAAAUAACAUAAAAAAUAAUUUAGACCAACCCGUCAAGCAUCAUUAUUAGAUUACGAGGCUAGGAUAACAUAAUAAAAAUAAAAUCAAAACAAACCACAAAGUCUAAAUUCUAAUAAAAUAUAUUAUUAAAUAAUAAAAUUGAAGAAAAAAAAUUAAUUAAAAGAAAUUCGAGUCAAUUAGGCUAACUUGCUAAGCCUGUGAGUUAGGUUAUAAAACAAAAAUAACCCAAUAAAAAGUAAUUUCACUAUUGAAGGACUCGUGAUCUACGUCAUGAAAUCAACAUAACCUCUUACAAACAAAAUAAAAAAAAAACAACUCAAUUUAAUUUGGAUUAAAAUGUCAAAACCUCCACCUCUAAUCAUAAAACUAGGAUAAUUAUAUAGAAAAUAAUUUGAAAUAGAUUAUGAAAUUCCAUUCCCAACUGACAUUAUAUCAAAUGAUAAAGUUAGAAAAAAAAUUCAAUUAAAAAAAUAUAAAAUAUAACCCGAGUCAAUUUAGGCUAAUAUGUUAAGUAUUAUUUCCAAUUUAUGAGGUUAGAAUAAUCUAAUACAAAACAAAUAAAACAAAAUAUGAAACUUAAUUUUUAAUUAAAAGAUAAAAUUGUAAAAAAAAUUUAAUUAAAAAAAAUCAAGUUAAGUGAGUGAAUCCAUUAAAUCUACAAUUUUUAUUAUAAAAGUGAGACAACUUAAUAAAAAUAAAUUAAUAUUAAAAUAAAAAACAUUCAAUAAAAAAAACACUCAUUCAGAUAAUUGUAUAAAACAUAAUAAUAUAAAGUAUAAUUUAUGAUUUAUUUAUUUAUUUUAGCAUUUAGUGAAGUCUUUCCAAUCAAACCCCUUUUUUUUUUUUAUAAUUUAUAAAAAAUAAAAAUAUUUUAUUUUAAUAAAUGUUUAAAUAAAAAACAAUAAGAGACAACCGUGACCACUUAAAUGGACUCCUAAGCACACCAAGUUAAGAGUUAAAGAGCCGAGAGAGAAAAAGCUUUUGCCAGUUCUUUACACAUUCUUUCCCCUUCUGUCACCUGAACAAAAUCCCCUCUUCUUCUUCUUGUUUGUUUACUCUUCCUUCGUUACUUUGCAAAGAGGAGAAACCAUGGCCGGGGCUUUAGUAGGAGGAGCUUUUCUUUCUUCUUUCCUUAAUGUUUUGUUCGACAGGAUGGCCUCUCCCCAGGUGAUUGCCUUCUUCAGAGGCCAAAAAGUCAACGAUAGUAGUCUGCUGCAGAACUUUGAAGAAAACAAUGACAUCUCUCAGGGUGGUGCUUGAAGAUGCUGAGGAGAAGCAGAUAACAAGUUUAACUGUGCGGGAUUGGCUGGUCGAUCUUAAAGACGCUGUCUAUAACGCCGACGACUUCUUGGAUGAGAUUGCUUAUGAAGCUCUACGGCAGGAGUUGGAAGCUGAAGAGCAAACCUUCACAGGUCAGACGCAGAAGCUUCUUUCUUUCAUUAACCCACUUGAAAUACUGGGGUCGAGAGAGAUCGAAGAAAAAAUAGAAGUCCUUUUGCAGGAUCUAGAUCCCUUAGUUGCAGGAAUGGCAGCCCUUGGUUUGAACAACCGCAAUGUAGAAAAUCCAUCAUCGCAUAGAACACCAACAACUUCUCUCGUGGAUGGAUCUGGUGUUUAUGGCAGAGAUGAUGACAGGGAAGCAAUACUGAAGUUGCUUCUAUCAAAGGAUGCAAAUGGAGGAAACCCUGGUGUCGUCCCCAUUAGGGGAAUGGGCGGGGUUGGUAAAACCACGCUUGCUCAGCUUGUAUACAAUCACAGAAGAGUACAGAAGCGGUUCGACCUCAAAGCUUGGGUUUGUGUUUCAGAAGAUUUCAGUGUUUUGAAGUUAACCAAGGCGAUCCUUGAGGGGUUCGGUUCAAAGCCUGCUUCUGAUAAUCUGGAUAAGCUCCAGCUUCAGUUGAAGGACAGAUUGGAGGGAAAGAGAUUCUUGCUUGUUUUAGAUGACGUUUGGAAUGAAGAUUAUGCUGAGUGGGACAAGUUGCUUACCCCCCUGAAGUACGGAGCACAAGGGAGUAAGAUUCUUGUCACAACACGCAAUGAAAGUGUAGCAUCAGUCAUGAGAACUGUUCCAACUCAUCAUCUAAAAGAAUUGACGGAAGACAGCUGCUGGUCCUUGUUUGCCAAACAUGCAUUUCGUGGUGAAAAUCCCAAUGCUCAUGAAGAGUUGCUAGAGAUUGGAAGAGAAAUAGUGAGAAAGUGUAAAGGCCUUCCUCUAGCUGCGAAAACACUCGGAGGUCUGCUACGCACCAAAAGAGAUGUCGAGGAGUGGGAGAAGAUAUUGGAAAGCAAUCUAUGGGAUUUACCCAAAGACAAUAUCCUCCCAGCUUUGAGAUUAAGUUAUCAUCAUCUCCCGUCACAUCUGAAGCAAUGUUUUGCUUAUUGUGCCAUAUUUCCAAAAGACCAUGAAUUUCAAAAGGAUGAAUUAGUGCUCUGUGGAUGGCAGAGGGCUUCUUAGUCCCUCUGCAGUAGAUGAUGAGAUGGAAAAGCAGGUGCUGAGUGCUUUGAUGAUCUCUUGUCAAGGUCGUUUUUCCAGCAAUCAAGUGCCUCGCUCAUCAUUUGUGAUGCACGAUCUCAUGCAUGACUUGGCUACCCAUGUGUCCGGUCAAUUUUGCUUCAGCUCCAGGUUGGGGGAAAAUAAUUCUUCCAAGGCCACAGAAGGACUCGACAUUUAUCACUCGUAGUAGAUACGGGAAGGGUUUUUCAAGCACAAAAUUAGAAAACAUCCGUGAAGCCCAACUUCUACGCACAUUCCAACUUUUCACGCUAUUGUUGUCCUCCCGAAUUUAUAAUGAGAUCUUUCAGUCAACACUUGGGCGCCUACGAGUGCUAAUCAUGACUGGUUGUAGAGAUCAACUUGUUAUGUUCAACUAGCAAGUUGAAGCAUUUGCGGUAUUUGGAUCUCUUCGGUCAGAUUUAGUAACGUUGCCUGAAGAAGUGAGUGCUCUUCUCAAUUUGCAAACGUUGAUCUUGAAAAUGCAAACAACUUGCUAGUCUACCUGAUCUUGGAAAUUUGAAGCACUUACGACAUCUGAAUCUUGAAGGAACAAGGAAUCGAAAGGUUGCCUGAAUCUCUGGAAAGGUUAAUCAACUUGCGGUAUCUUAACAUCAAGCACCCUUUGAAAGAGAUGCCACCACAUAUAGGUCAACUGGCAAAGCUCCAAACGUUGAAUUAUUUUCUCGUGGGAAGACAGAGUGAGACUAGCAUUAAAGAAUUGGGAAAGCUACGACAUCUACGGGGAGAACUUCAUAUUGGGAACCUUCAAAAUGUGGUGGAUGCUCGGGAUGCUGGUGAGGCAAAUUUGAAAGGUAAAAAGCACCUUGAUAAGCUGAGGUUUACAUGGGAUGGUGACACUCAUGACCCGCAACACGUAACAAGCACACUUGAGAAAUUAGAGCCAAAUAGAAAGCUGAAGGAUCUUCAGAUUGAUGAUUAUGGAGGUGUAAGGUUUCCAGAGUGGGUAGGAGAGUCCUCUUUCUCAAAUAUAGUGUCCUUGAAGCUCAAUGGAUGUACAAACUGCACCUCCUUACCACCGCUCGGGCAAUUAUCUUCUUUAGAGGAUCUCUCCAUUGAAGGAUUUUAUAAAGUUGUGACUGUGGGCUCUGAGUUCUAUGGGAGUUGUACUGCUAUGAAGAAGCCAUUUGAAUCCCUCAAAACAUUAUCUUUUAGAAGGAUGCCAGAGUGGCGCGAGUGGAUUUCAGACGAAGGCAGCCGGGAAGCCUUCCCUCUUCUUGAUGUGCUUUUAAUCGCAGAAUGCCCCAAAUUAGUUUCAUUUCCCAAAGGAGGGUUACCUGCUCCAGUCUUGACACGACUUGAGUUAGAAGAAUGCAGGAACUUGAAGCAGUUGCCUGAGAGUAUGCAUUCCCUCUUCCCAUCCCUUACCGAUUUGGUAAUAAGAGAUUGUUUAGAAGUUGAGUUGUGUCCAGAAGGGGGUUUUCCCUCCACAUUACAAUCACUUGAGAUUUCUAGAUGCAACAAACUCAUUGCUGGCCGCAUGCAAUGGGGCUUGCAAACGCUCCAUUCUCUUUCACGCUUUACAAUUGAUUGGGACGAAAAUGUUGAAUCCUUCCCUGAAGAGAUGCUGCUGCCCUCAAGUCUUACAUCUCUUAGAAUCUAUUCCCUACAACACCUGAAAUCUCUUGACUACAAGGGGCUUCAACACCUCACCUCUCUUAGAACAUUGAAUAUAAAGAACUGCCCUCUGAUUGAGUCAAUGCCAGAAGAAGGGUUGCCCUCCUCCCUUUCUUCUCUUGUAAUUGAAGGUUGUUCCAUGCUGAAAUCUCUUCCAAGGCUUCACCACCUCACCUCUCUUACAGCAUUGGGUAUAUAUGGCUGCCCUCUGAUUGAGUCAAUGCCAGAAGAAGGGUUGCCCUCCUCCCUUUUUAUUCUUUCAAUUCUCAAUUGUCCUCUGCUGGGUGAAAGUUGUGAAAGGGAGAAAGGUAAAGAUUGGCCCAAGAUUUCUCACAUUCCUCACAUAAGUAUAUAUUGAGGUAUUGCUACUAAAUAGUUUAUUUUCUUUUCAGUAAUCAAAGGCAAUUUCAGUUAAAAUUUGGAUGAAUGAAAUACAGAUAUUGUCCAUUUUGUAUUGUUUAUAUUUGUUGGAUGUUGAAAUACAGAUAUUUUCUUCCUAUUGUCUCUCAUUCAUCUCCAUAAAUAAUAAUCAUCAUUCUAUUUC